rnacentral:lncRNA from 1 species
AGUUUAUUUAUCUAAAAUUUUGUUCAAACUUAGUGGGUCUAUUAGCUAUUAGUUGUUAAUUGUUCUAGUCUCGUUUGCUAAAAGGUGAUCAAAGCCAUUAAAUUUGAUAAAAUCACUCACAAAUUUGAUAGAAUUCCCAAUUUAGUUGAAAAAAGUCACUCAAUUGUAAAAUAUUAAAAGUUGAGAAGGUGCCAGUUCAAAAAAAUUAAUAAAUGAAAUUGAGGGGGUCAUUGCAGAAUUAGCUAUAGAUGAGGAGGCCUGCAUGCAUUUUACGUAAAAAGAGUCACAAUUAUGUCGAAUCUGUUGAGUCUGCCUACUAGGAAAUUGUUUCCUAUUGUUUCCAUCAGUUGAUGAGACUUGGAAAAGCGUAGAAUCAUAGUUGCAGAAUCUAGCUAGUUUCUAAUGGAUCAUUAAAAAGCCAGACUCAUUAUCGCACAAUUUAUAUGCAGCUAUCACUAAGAUAAAAAGCUAGACUCAUAAUAGCACAAAUUUAGUUAGUUUCUAAUGGAUCAUGUAAAGAGUUUAUGUGCAGCUAUCACUUACGAUGAGUUUGGCUCUGGUUACUGUGAAAAAUUUAGUUAGUGUGCAAUUGUUGUACCUACGGUUCAAUUCGGCCAGCAGUUGCUGAGCAUACAUUAUUAGUUCUAAUUGUACUCUUAUCUCAUUUUCUGUUAAUUUUGCUUGUCAAUUCUCUUUUGGCAGUUUUUGCUUACCUUUCACUCCAGGUGGCCAAGCUAUCAUCCCCUCUACUCUGGUCGGUGUAAAGCCCGGCCGCCCACUUCUCCGACUUGUUAUACGCCGUCACCCACACUUGCUUCUUCGUGUAGCUCGCCCUUAUCUGAGGAUAGUCGUCGUCCGACAGUAGUGAAGCAGCGGGCGCACCAUGGCUGAUAAUCCGGUACCCGACUUCGUUCCCCAGACGGGUCUUCUUGUUAGGGUUCACGACCAGCAGCUCAGCCGGCUCGGACCCGAGCUCGACUCGUGCGUCUGACUCGGUCUUAGCCGUCUCCUUGACGAUGGUCCAGUAGCUCUUCCUCGGCGAGCUGCCGUCAGUCAGUCUCACCGUCUUGAGCCGUGAUUUAACAAAAGAAUUCUCCGUGCCAUCAAUGUCGAGAUCGAGAUAGCAGGUAACGAAAUGGUCGUGGUAGACACCGAUGGUGUUCUCGGCUAUUAGGGUCCCAUGCUGGUCGCUUACUAUUUGGUUUGUGUGGGUGUAAGGUGAGCCCUUCACUUCCAGAAUGCCCGUCGGUGACACCUGCAUUGAAGAUUAAUUAAGAACAAGACAAAAUUAUUCAUACUGUGCAUGCAUGUAGUUCUUAAUUAUGAUACCUCAAUAUUCCUGAGGCCGCGGAUAGAGAAAUUUAUAUGUGAUGAAACAAUUACGAUUAAUAAUCUAGAUUAAAGUAGCUAGUUUGAGUUGACGGUUUUGGCCCAACAAGUUAUAGGUGCCAGUGAGUCCAAUCGUCAUAAUUACUAUCAGAGUGAUCAACUCAUCAAUUGAAAAAAUAAGAUAGGUUUCAAAUUAACCGCUUGAUAAUUUUCAGCUAUAUAUAUAUGUGAUGCAUAUGAUAAUAUGAAAGUAUGUGAGAGCUAGGCAUAUAUGUACGUGAUGGGCAUAUUAGGAUUAAAAAUUUAGAUUUAAGCAUUUUCGAUCGGUGGUUUAGAUUCAACAAAUUAUUAGUAUUAGUAGGCUGAAUCGUUAUAACUUUUUUGGUGCUACCUACAAAUAAAAGGUUUGAAACAAAUACAAAUUAAGGGGUCAGAAAUGUUGUCCUUUGGACUGCUUGUGGACAGGAGUAGCUUAUCGAUCGGGUCGAUUAACGUAGUUUGCAGUUUCUUGAUGCAGCAAUUGAAAGGUUUGGAAUAUGUGCGAGGUAGAAAUUAAUGUAGCUAUCACAGGCCAUUGUGCAAUAGCGGCAAACACGCCGGAGUGCUUGCCAACAGGGAUUAAUUGCUUAUGGGAUUCCUGUACUCUACCGGAAUGUUCGGAUUGUGUCGAACGGAGGUGGGUACUGCAAGGGUUCUUUAAUUUUGAGUCUUUACUUGAAUAGAAGUUGUUCACUGGAAAGGGAGUGCCCCAGAAAAAUCUUACCACAAACUUAAUGGAGCCACUGGUCUUGAAUUCCCAGUCGAGAACAUAGUCAUAAUUUCCAACAGUCGAAACCAUCCUCACCACCAGACUCACAUCCGGCCGGACCUCCGUGAUCUGCAUCACAUCCCGCAAGUUACCGGAGAAUAUCCAACAACGGCCUAAUUAAACUCAGGUGGUAGUAGUAUUAUAGAUAUUGACAGAUCAAGAAUUAUUAAUUGUUAUGAAACCGGACUGUCGUAAUAAUUUUGAAGUGCUUACCAACUCCCCAACAAUCCCUGUUUCAGUAUGCCGCCACGAGGGAUCUCCGGCGUAGCGCUCAAAUAUGCAGAAUACCCUCUCGAUUUUGGCGGGCUUCCCGUCCUGCGUGGUGUAGUACCCGUUCAGGAACACAGCAUUUGCUGGGCAGUCAGUCAUGGGCUCUAGGGGCGAGGCAAAGAGCCCCAGGCCGAACUCGCCCUCGUCGAAGAACGUCUUGUAGUACCAUUCCUCUGAUGGGUCCAUGUACGGCACGAACAGCUCGGAGACGAACCCCCUGUAAAGCACUCGCCGGCGUGUGCGCCUCACGGCGUCGUAGACGGAGGCUAGGGAGAUGACGGCGCCGGCCCGCAUGUCGAAGCUCAGGUGAAAGGCCCAGUUGGCCCACCUGAUUGUGAGAUCGAUGUGUAAGCAAUAUUAUUUGAUCAACGAGAAAUCGGAGCUCUAUAAACUCAUUUGUCGUACGUACGUAGAAGUUGGAGGUGUAGUGAAAUGACUGCAUGGUGCUAAUAGAUCAUGGCUACUAAUGAAUAAGAAGAAUAUAUACUAGCAUCUUAUGAAAUAGUCAGGUCAAACGAAGGGGCCCAAUGUUUCCAUGGAAUUUGGAUUGCAUUAAUUCGAUCGACUCUCUUUGGACCAAAGUUACAUAACUGAAUCUGGCUCAUUCUAUUUUAAUGCAUGGAAAGCGAUGAGAUUGAUUUACUAUAGAUAUAUAUAUAAGAGCGCGAACUUAAUUUAAUUAGUACCCUUCCAGUGAAUUUAAUUACCUUCUACAUUUUACCAUCUAUGCAUGGUUUGAAACGUUGUGAUUUGUUAUCCUACCGGAUUUUUUUUUUUUUUUCUUUACUUUCACUUGAAGAACCUGUCAUUAAAUGAAAUAAUAAAAAUACUUCAAUUUUACCCCGGAGGUUGGCAAAACAUCAUGCAUAUUUUGCAAACCACGUACGGAUUUUAUCCUCCUAUAAUUUGCCAUUUAUUUUUCUACAAGCUGUAAUAUCAAGUAAUUUUUUAUUUUACUUAAAGGCAGGUAAUUGAGGUUAAAAAAAAAAAAGUUAAUUAACAAUGUAAAACUUUAACAUUGUAAAGCUUAAUUUUCAUAUUGCAAGUUCAUAAAGUGCAUGCAAAUGGGCAAAAUAAUAUCGAGGCUAAUUGAAGAUUAUCAUGUUGAAUAUGGAAUAUUGGAAACAUUACUCUCUAAUAGCUAGCUAAAAAAUUUAAAUUAAUCAGUUAUUUCAUGUGAUAUUAGUUUGUGAGGUCACUUUUACGUCCAUUUUGUUACUUCUCACCAAUGUAAGUUGCAAAGCCUCAAAUCCAACAACGGGGAGAGGUGUUAAAUAUAAAACACUACUAGCGAACCUAUGCUUCGCAACGAAAAGAUAAAUAUUAAAAGUUAUUAUAAUAUUUGUCUUAGGUCACUGUACUUUCGAAAGUACGGAAAUUUUCGUAUUUAUAUAGAGCACCUUGAGAGAGGUACCGGUCAAUAGGUAUCCCAAAAAAGAAUAUUUUGGUAUUUUGGUUCGGGGGUAAUAAUUAAGUAAUUUUGCCCAAUUAUAUUAUAUUAUAUUAUAUUAUCUAAUCUAUUCUCUCUUUAUUUUCUUUUUCUGUCUCUUUAUCUUUCAUCUCCAUUCACGUACAGAUGGAGACGAAUAAUUAUUUUGGAUUUGGAUUUCAGAUUUUUGUCAGUUUUAAGUUUGGAUAUGGAUUUUGAAAUCCACAGAGUUCAGAAAAAGGAUUUAGGAUUGAUUGUCAAUUCAGUUUAGGUUUUUGAAAAAUCCAACCAAAAUCUAACCCAUUGACAUCACUAACCAUUGGUUCUUUUUUUUUAACCAGUAAUCUCAACCUUUUUAAUUUUUACAUUUAAAAUUAUAUUUAAAAUGUUUAUUAUCUCAAAUGGUUAGAAUGUUAUUAUAUUUAAAAUGUAUCUCUAACGGUUCAAAAUUGUUCUUAAUUUUAUUCAGUUCAAAGAGUGGAACCAACCUGCUUGAUAGACUGAAUUACGGUCUGACCAGUCGAGCCAGUCAGUUUAAUCUGAUUUUUAAAUCAUUCAUAGUAACUUAAUAAACUGUAUAAAUCAUUGAUACUUACCAAAAACCUCUAUAUAUUGUUUAAAAUCUAUCGAAUUUGGAUGCGAAUUUUGGGAUUGAUAGUCAGGUUAGGGUUUUGAUUUUUGAAAAUCCGAUCCGAAUUUGGCAUGCUGACAUCGUUAACCAUUGAUUCCUAUCCACUACUUUUUUUCUACCACUAAUCUUAACCUUUUUAAUUUUUACAUUUAAAAUGUUUAUUAUCUUCGAUAGUUAAAAUGUCAUUAUAUUUUAAAACGUUUAUUAUCUCUAAUGGUUCAAAACUAAUCGUAACCUUAUUCAAUUCAAGGGAUUGAACCGAGCAGCUUGAUAAACUGGUUUACGGUUUGACCAGUUGGACUAGUAGUCAGUUCAAUCCGAUUUUUAAAUCAUUGAACUUAAUUAAUUAAAUAAACAAUAAUAGUUAGGAAAAUAAUUGCAAAUUAAAAGAUAAGGAACUGACAUUUUAAAAAUCAACUAGAAUUUGAAAAAAAAAAUAUUAAAAGUAAACAUUAAAACCAACUAACUUAAUAAAUCAAAUCAAUUAGACUGAUCAAAUUGAUAGAAUAUACAAAAAGUCUAGAUUUGUUAUAUAUAUAUUUAUUUAAUUUAUCUAUAGUCCUAAUUUUGUGUACUCUAUUAAAACUCUAUAGUGGAGUUUAUUAUAAUCAUAAAAUUUAAAUUGUUUAGUCUAUAUUUACUCAGUAGUAAGUUUAAAUUGUACUAUAUUAUUUAGACUUAUAGGAGAUUUCUAUAUACUGUUUAGGUUCUAAACUUUAAAUUUAUUUUCAAUUUAUAUUUUAAGUUAUAAUGCAUGAUCUCAUUAUUUUAAAGAAUCAAUUUUUACCAUUCAAAUUUGAAUUAAUUUAGCCCGUACAAGUCUAUUCUGAGAAUAAAUUUGAAUUAUACAUUGUAUUCCUAUUUAAUCAAAUAUGUAAUCACAUUCAAAUUUUUAAAAAUAUUGAUACAAAAUUAAUGUCUAAAUUAGAGGAAUUCUAAAAUAUUCACGCACUUUCAAAUUUCUUAAAUAGUGAUAAAAUUAAUGUCUAAAUUAGCGAAAUUCAAAAUUUUCUUAAAGAUAUCAACUAUAUUGAAUUUAAAUAUUUACCAUCAAUCAAAUUUUUUUAAAUAGUAAUACAAAAUGAUGCUUAAAUUAUAAGAAUUCUAAACUUCCUUAAACAUAUUGAAUAUAUUGACUUUGAAUUUCACCCAUUUUCAAAAUUUUUAAAUAUUGAUAUAAAAUAAUGCCUAAAUUUUUAACUCUAAAACUUCUUAAAUUAAUGACUAAAUUAAUGAAAAAUUAAUGACUAAAUUUGUGGGAGGGGACUCAAAACCUUUUUUAAAUUUUGCGAUGUCUAAUCACGAAAAUAAUCUCAACAUAAAGUUAUCUUUUAACCUGGUAAAGGGUAAAAUGACACUUUUACCCUUUAUUGAUCAACGGUUAAGAUUUUUUUUAUUAUUUAUAAUAUUAAGUAGCGAAUCAUUUCUCUUAUAAAUUUGGGUCCCACCAUGAUAUAUUAUACAUAUCAUGCUACUUAUUAUUAGUUGUUCAUUACUCUGCGUUAUUCUUAUUAUUUAUUACCUUGGUCUAGACUUGUCUUUUUUUUUUCUUUUUUUUUUUUGAGAGAGAUAUAUAGGUAGCACGCUACCCGCUUCGUCUAUUUUAUUUAAAAAUAAACUUAGCUGGAAAUAUGAAUCAACUAGGAUUCGAACUUGGUCUAGACUUGACGUCGUCAAUGUGUUGUAUUCAUUGGAAAACUCUAUAGUUUCUCACCAUACUAUUUUUAGGUGCAUCGAAUAAGUUGGAGCACGACACAGAGUGAGGAUGCAUGUUGGUUGACCUUCUUUAGAUAGCUCGACGUUUUGUAUUUGGAACAUUGAAAAUUGUGAUAUUUUGAAAAGGGCGAAAUUUGUAACUAAACUUAUAAUUCAGUGUGGAUGUAUUUAAAAACCCAACAAAUUUUGUAAACAAUGAAACUUUUAUCGAAGAUUGAAAUUUUAUUGUUCGGAGAUUUCUUGUAUAUUGUUACAGGUGAUUUAUACUAAAGUCAUGCGCAUAUUAAAAAAAUUUUGUCCGUAUGGUGGAUCUGUGCUCGCUCCAAAUAUUAGCUUCUGUAUUAGGGCGUGAUAGCUUAUUAUAUUCCCAAUUAAAUUUUUAGAAGAUUAUAGCUUUAAAUUUAACUUUUUGAAUGACUCUCUAGAAAAAGAAAAUUCAAAUUUUCUUUUAAUUCACACAUAUUUCAUUUCCUUAAAAAAGUAAUUAACAUGUUCUUUUAGGAAUACCAAAUCAGAAAUAUGCAAAUACAAGAUAGGUUCACUGAAUGGUAUAACUUGGAUUCUACUCAGAAUAAGACGGUAAAACAUAUAUUUCAGUCCGACUUAACACUUCUAAUGAAAGAACGUGAAAAGACCGAACUCGUAACAAAUUUUAAACAAGAAAAAGGAAUAAGUAAAAUGUAUGGAAAAGCCCUCAGCGAUUGACCAUUCUGUAAUAGUCCCUUCUACUAUUAUUUUGUAAAAAAUAAUAUCUGUACAUUUAUAUGUAGAUAUAAAUCUUACACCUCACUCAUUCUAUGAUUCACAAUAUUCUUUUGAGUUUUUAGUACUGAAAAGAAGUUGACCAAACUAGUAAAAAAUAGUGGCUUUUGGAUGUGUUGGUAUAAAAUUUACGCUUUUGUCUAUAGAUUGUACUACAGGUAGCCUUGCUCUUCUUUUUUUUAUGCAAUUUUAACUUACGCCUCAAUACUUAUAAAAUCUCACUAAUGUCCCUCCAAAAUUGUUAAAUUAUGAAUGCUCUUCUCAGAUUGACUAAAAUUAUUGGAUUCAUUUACUCUCUUUAAAAUAAUUAUAAAUAAUAGUUAGGUGGGACUGAUGAAGUGAUUUCUUAUCGAAAAAUGACAUUAUGGGUAAUUUUAACAUUCUAAUAUACUAAAUUUAUAUUUGUGAUUUAGUUUAUGGAUGUUUUUUCUUUUUUGUCUACUCCAGUUUAUUUUAUUUUUUCAAUUCAAUAUCAUUUGGUUGUCAUGUUAUUCUUACAUAAAAAUGAUCAAUUAAUAAGAAAAAUAUAUUAAUUUAUUUUUUGAAUAUAUUUUUAGUUUAUUUUGUUUAAAUUAGUAUAAUUUCUUGUUUAUAAUUUGUACAGUUUAUUUUUUUUGCAAUUAAUUAACUUCAAUUUAAUUAGUAUGCAUUAAAUUACAUUUAUAAUAUUUUAAGGCAAAAAAUUUUUUACGUUUAAUGACAUGUAAAGGACAAAUUGGAAAUUUUGAUAAAUUUUAAAGUAAAAGCAUACCUGAACUAUAGACUUUUUUGAGUCAGCUACUGAAACUUUCAAAUUUUUGAUUCUACUAUCGACCUUUCAAUUUAUUUAAUUUGAGUCAAUCAACGGUAUUUUAACUUAAAAAUUUAAGCUAAUUACUCACUUAGAUAAAUUUAUAAUUAUGAAAAUUAUGAAAAUAUACUAACUAAGCCGGUAAACAUAAAUGAGGCAUGCAAAUUUUAAAGUUUAUGUACAAUUGACUAACUCAAAUCAAACAAAUUAAAAAAAUUCGGUAGUAAAAUCAAAGUUUAAAAUUGGGUAGCCAAAUCUUGGUCCACAUUUCAGUUAAGUUUUAUACAUUUUGACCAAUUUUUAAAAGAAUUGUCAUCAAUUUGAGUAAUCUGAUCACUAUUUUCUUAAAUUAAUUAGGGGGUAUUUUUUAUAUUAACAAUUUUAGAAGAUGUUCUAUAUAAUUAAGGAUUGGAAGACAAAUACAUAUGAAAUUUCUCCUUUUUUUUUUAUUGAGACCUCCUAAACUUUUAAUAUUUUUAUUUGAAUUUGUAUUCAAUUAAAUUAAAAAUUUUAUCAAAUUUAAUUACGUCAUUAGUUGUUAUUAAAACUAAUUUUUAAUUUUAAAUUUAAUAAACUUAUUUAUAAAUUUGAUAAAACUUUUAAAGUUAUUUUUGAUUAAAAUAAGUUAAAUUUAAAAAAUUAGAAUCUGAGUUGGUAGCAAUUAAAAAAAAAAUUUGCGGGGUAUAUUUUAUUAUAUCUUAUGGUUGAGGACGCCGCAACGCCAUUUUGCCUAAGGGUGUGUUUGGUUCCACGUAAAACUGCGGAAAAAAAAAUUUCGGUGGAAAAAAAAUUUUCGGUGGAAAACAGUUUUACGUCGUUUGUGUUUGAUUUGUAGGAAAAAAAAAAAAGUUUUCCAUAAGAGUUGUUUGGUUGAAAGAAAAGAAAAAUUAGAUAAAAAACUAUUUAAUAUAUUUUUUAUUAUAUAUAUUACUAGUAUAUUAUAAUUAUUAUAUAUAUAUAUUCUCUAAUUAUAUAUAUUAUAUAUUAUUAAUAUAUAAUAAUUAUCAUAAUAUAUUUAAUUAUUAUAAUUUAUAUAUUAUAUAUUAUAUAAUAAAUAUUAUAUUAUAUAAUAAAUAUGUAAUAUAAUAUAUAAUAAUAUAUAUUUAAUAUUAUAAAAUAAUUAUUAUAUAUUUAUAAAUAAAAUAUUAUAUACUAAUAUAUUUAUAUAAAAAAUAAAAUUAUAUAUAUAUAUAUAUAUAUAUAUAUAUAUAUAUAUAAAACUAGGUUCACUGCACUCUCUCUCUCGGUCCACGAGGUGAAGCACACCUCAUGGACCGCACGCAAAAGGAUGGAGCCGCACUUGUGAGCCCUGACUUUGCUCUCUCUCUCUCGGUCCACGAGGUAAAGCACACCUCCUGGACUGCGCACAAAAGGAUGGAGCCGCGCCUGUAAGCCCCAACAUUUUUACUGUAGCUUUUUGUUUUCGCUCGGACAGAGUGAAAAAACGAAAACGUGAUUUUUUCAUCUAUUCGUAAAAAGAAAUUUUUCGAGAAAAAUUUUUUACAGAGAACCAAACAACAAAAAAUUAUUUUUCAACUGAAAAAAAUUUUCGAACUCAUUUUACAUGAAUCCAAACACGCCAGUAAAAGAUUGUGAAAAGACUAAACUACCCCUACAACUACCGUAUCCUAUUAAAUGCAUAAUAACAAGUUUAAAACGAGAAGUAGGGUAUAGAAUAAUAGCAUGCAUGAUCGGCUUUGACUAAAUUCAAAUUGCAAAGGGAAUGAAAAGACCAAAUUACCCCUUUGACUAAACUCGCCAAUUAAAACGUUUCCAUAGAAGCGAUAGAAGGUAAUUAAACUGAAAAUUAUAUUCCAAGUCAACUAGAUCUUGCGAGUUACCUACUACGGUCAACUCUACUCAGAUGGCCGUUUAAUUAGCAGCUUCUUAUAAGUUAUCUUACACUUUUUAUUUCUAUAUAUAUAUAUAUAUAUAUAUAUAUAUAUAUAUAUAUAUAUAUAUAUAUAUAUAUAUAUAUAUAUAUAGAACUAGGCUGGUAUACUAUUGGUACUACGGAGGCUACUAUGCUACUAAAUUGUUUUCAAUGAUGCGGGUUCCAAAUCGACGAUCGACUUCAUUAAACUUGAUCUAUAUUAUUGAAAAUAUUUGGAAACUAAAUUUCAUAAUUUUUCGGCAUCAUUUACCUAACAAACAAGUAAUCUAAAAAUAAACGACUGAAAAUAAAAAUCUCAUAAAAAAUAAUGAUAAAAGAUUUGAAUUUAAGAUCAGAGGCAUUGAUCUUACUCUAAAUAGUAAAAAAAAAUUUCUAUAAAAAUCUCAUCAGAUUUGAAUUGUUUUACACCCUUAAAUUCACAAACGCAUCACAUCUACCAUUAAAAUUGUUAAUUUUGAGACCUUUUGAUCACUAGCGAAAUAAUGUCGAAUAAUUAUGAAAUUUAAUUUCCAAAUAAUUUCAAUAAUGCAGAUCAAGUUUAACGGAGCCGAUCGUCGAUUAGGAAGUCGCAUCAUUAAAAACAACUUGGUAGCACGGAGACCUCUGUGCUACCGAUAGUAUACCAAUAUAUAUAUAUAUAUAUAUAUAUAUAUAUAUAUAUAUAUAUAGCACUAGGCUGGUAUACUAUUGGUACUACGGAGGCUACUAUGCUACUAAAUUGUUUUCAAUGAUGCGGGUUCCAAAUCGACGAUCGACUCCAUUAAACUUGAUCUAUAUUAUUGAAAGUAUUUGGAAACUAAAUUUCAUAAUUUUUCGGCAUCAUUUACCUAACAAACAAGUAGUCUAAAAAUAAACGACUGAAAAUAAAAAUCUCAUAAAAAAUAAUGGUAAAAGAUUUGAAUUUAAGAUCAGAGGCAUUGAUCUUACUCUAAAUAGUAAAAAAAAUUUUCUAUAAAAAUCUCAUCAGAUUUGAAUUGUUUUACACCCUUAAAUUCACAAACGCAUCACAUCUACCAUUAAAAUUGUUAAUUUUGAGACCUUUUGAUCACUAGCGAAAUAAUGUCGAAUAAUUAUGAAAUUUAAUUUCCAAAUAAUUUCAAUAAUGCAGAUCAAGUUUAACGGAGCCGAUCGUCGAUUAGGAAGUCGCAUCAUUAAAAACAACUUGGUAGCACGGAGACCUCUGUGCUACCGAUAGUAUACCAAUAUAUAUAUAUAUAUAUAUAUAUAUAUAUAUAUAUAUUGGUAUCAAAGUAUAGAGAACACUGAAUGAAAAGGGAAAAAAGAAACUUCAAUUAGCCCUUUAUGAUAUUAUACCAUAUUUACUUUGCAAUUCUAUGAUUAGAAAAAUUUUAAUUUGUUAUAAGCUAAAAAUUGAAAUGAUAUACUUUGCCCUCCUAUAUAUGAUUUAUAAACUGUAUGAUUUAUUAACCCUAUAAUUUAUAAGUAAUAAUAUUUUGAUACCCAACUUAACAGUACAUCUUUACUGGAAUAUAAAGAGAUUAUCAUAAAAUGCCUAAUGUUUUAUGAAGGGAAAAAUUAAAAGCAGUGCAGAUAAUUUUUUCCUCCUUUCUUAUUACUUCUUUAAUAAGAGAAAAAAUAUUGACUAGAUCAAUUUUCUUUUGUUUCUCUCUUUUUUUUUUCUUUUUUUUUUUUGGUUGUUUUUGUCUCUGUCUUUUUUGUUUCUUUUCUUUCCUCAAUUUUCAAUACAAAUAAUUAAUUUUUCUUCUAACUUUCUUUUUAGAAUGUUUAAUAAUCCGAAAAUGGCAAAGUAAAAAUGUGCUAGGUAAAUUAAAGUUUUUCGAAAAAGGAAAAGGACAGAAAAAAGAAAAACCGGAUCAUGUGGCCGUCGACGUCGAUCCCGCUCCCCUCCGGCUGCAGAACCAGUCCCGGCUUCGUCCUCGGCCCGAACGGCGGCCGCUGCUUUGCCGCCCGGUAGUCGGUGCCCUUCGCCUUCGGCACGGGCACCUGCACCCGAUCCUCGUACUCCACAAUCUCCAUCACAUCCAAAUCCACCACAAUAGUGAUCCCCUCCAACGGCCUCAUGUAGAAGUUCACCGUCUCUCCCGCCAAAAAGCACAGUAUCUUCAGCAGCCUCCUCCCUUGCUUCUCCUCUCCGAACCACCCCACCGAGAACGUGGUGCACACCACGUCCUUCAUGUCGACCCCUCUCUUCGCGACGGAUUCGAUGAACGGCGUGUAGUUCAUCGGCAGCGCGGAGGCUGCGAAUUGCUCUUCCAGGUUGAGCAGUGGGUACCCGAGGCCGCGAUAGACGGCAUCCGACGCGACCGCGUGGUUUGUUAUGUCCACAGAGAUUUCGUGGGUCUCGUUGUCAAUUCGGGCGAUGACGAGCGCGCGACGUGGAGGCAGCGGCCGUGCGGCAGUGUUGGAGAGCCACGAGAGCACGUCGGGCUUGUCGGGCUCGUCGAGGCCGACGUACUGGAAGGAGAGCGAGCUCGAUGAGAGGAGGCGGGGGGAGGCCUUGACGAUGCGGCGGACGGUGGAGAUCUCGGAAGGGGAGAGGGGGUCGAGAGGGUGGCGGUGAGUCAUGUAGCAUGGUGUUAGUAGGAAGAGUAGAUAGAGAAAUAGGAGUAAGGAAGAAGAUAACUUUGGAGCCAUGAUGAUGGAUGGUAUACGUAUGAUCGAUGUAGCUCGUGCUGAGUGGGAUGGAGAUGUAUAUAUAGAUGUGUAUGUUAAAUACGAUAAAAUACAAAACUUCAAGGUCGCCGGCCGGGUCGCGAGUGAACAAUCAUGUUAUAAUUUAUGGAGAUCUUAAAAUAAGUUUACUUUGACCAUUCAAAAAAAAAAGUUAAAUAAACUGCGAUAACUCGCACUUAUCUUUUUUCAGAAGAGGAGUUUUCAAUAUGUUUUGUUAGAAAAGAUGAGAUGUCUGACAAAAAAAAAAAGAAAGAAAAACACCUAUUUUUUAAUAUCAAUAUGUUUUGUAACUAUUAACACUGUUUUAGAGAAUGUAAUUGGAGUGCUAAUUGGGUGAUUAGAGAGAUUAAAUCUUAUUUUGUUGAGAAAUUGGCUUUACUCUGAGCGCCCAAUUUGUGUAAGUAAUAGGAAUUUAUCGUCUUCUUGAAUAAAGCUAACUAACUUGUGUUUAACCCCCCCCAAAAAAAAAAAAAACAAUAGAAGAGGGGUACGUUUUCUUAGAAAAAUUAUAAACAAGUACCAAAUCUUAAUUUCUACUGUCUAAUUUCUUUCGCCGCACAAUUAAUUCAUUCAUAAAAAAGAGGAGCAAAAAAUGUAAGAAGAAAAAGAGACAACAAAACUCAUUUAACUGAUGCAGUGCGAUUCUAUAUAUUUUUCCCCGUUGCUAAAAAUAAUACAUCACAAGAUUUGCUAGCUACACCAUCAAUAAGUCCAAAAUUAUCACCAAGCUUUAUUUGAAUUACUGAACUUCACAUAAUUUGUUGCAAUCGGUAGACCGAACUUUCAUUUCUCUUUCAAUCAAUCGGCCCCUAAUAUUUCUAACAAGAAGAUUAUGUGCAGGUAAUUGAAGGCAUAUGGAUGGUUAACUCGGACUGAGCGAAAUGCAGAUGCAUGCAUGAUGUGUAGGUGAAGUAGGGAAGGUGUUGGUGUUUUAUGUACGAGAUAAGACAAGAAAAUGAAUGAGCUGUGGCUCUUGGCUAGAUCCGUGCAGCAGCCGAGAGCAUGAAGACAAAUUCAGUAUAGCGAACUGGAUUUUCAGCCCCAAUAUUUAACAGGUGCUGGUUGUAGAUAAAGCUGAAAAAAAUUACAAAAAUAAAAUAUCAAUAAAAUACAGAAAUAACAUACAAAGAUCAUAUUAUGAAUAAAAAAUUUUAAAUAAAAAAGCUAAAUUACGAUAAAAAAAUAAUAAUAAUUCAAAAGUAGUCAAAGGUACCAUAUAUUCUGAGAAGUUAUAUCUAUUAAUUAAUUAAUAUAUAUGAAUUCUCAUUAUUAAAAUCUUACGUGGACACCGUCUCCUUAUUAUGGGGAGAAAGGAAGCCCACGAUGCCCCUUUUUUUUUUUUCCUCUUUUUCAUUCUCUCUUUGCAUUCUACUAUUUUUUUUCAUUCCGUCUCUUUGUAUUUCAUAAGUCUUGCACCUUUUUAAUGAGAUCAAUUCAAAGUCAUCAGCUAUAACACUUUUCUUCACUAGUUUCUGUCUUUUCAUCUCCCGACAUUUCGUUAGCCUAAAUCCCCUACUCUAUUUCUAAAAACCCUUUCUCAAUAGAUUUCUCUAUUGAGGGGGCGAUCUUUUUUCUAAUUCAGAAAUAACGCAUAGUAUAUAGCAGUAAUUACAGUUUGAUUGUAGUACACUGGACCUAUGCAAAUUGCGAGGUUCGAGUGAUUGGAUGUGUUCCGAGCUUUUCCACACUUGGUGGAAGGUCGUAGAAUAUUUUCCGAUCUAAAAAGUUCGAAAAUCUGAGUUCUAGACGAGUCCUGAGAGUUUUUACUCUCGGGGACCGGUCCCUGGCUAGGAGAGACCGAUCCCCCCGGAACAGUAUUGCGGCAGCCUUGAGGCAACCGGUCCCUGGCGGAUGAGACCUGUCCCCGAGCGCGUCCACGCGGGGAGAGACCGGUCCCAUGCGAGGAGAGACCGAUUCCCGAACGUUGGAUUUUCGGGGCAGGCCGAGAGACCGGUCCCAGGUCGGGGAGACCAGUCCCUCAGUCCGAAAACUGCCCAGUCCGGCCUGAUGCAAUAUUGGGAAAUUGAGGGGCUUCUCUGGAUUUUGUUACAUUAGAUGGCCUAAAUGACCAUUCCACCCUCUCUCUUCCUCAUUUCUCUUUUUCUCACUCUCCCAACACCUUGUUAGAGAAGGAGAAGAAUAAGGAGAAGGAGAAGAAGGAAAGGAGGAGAAGAAGAAGACCACCAAGAGGACUUGGAGCACCUUUCUCUCCCUCUUUUCUUUCCAUUGGUGCUUGAAAGCUUGGACUUGGAGCUUGCUAAAGAGAAGAUCUUCACUCUUGGAGAUUGGAUUGGAACUUCUAAAAAGGUUUGUUGCUUGUUCCUCCCCUCUAGACCUAGUUUUGGUGGAUUUUUGGAGAUAAAACCCUAGAAUGAAAAAUCUAGGGUUUAAUUGGGGCUUUUUGAUUUAGGGCUUUUUGAGCUAAUCUAAUUGGAUUAGAAUCUUGGUUUAAGUUGUUUUGGGAGAGAUCUAGCUUCCAUUUGAGCUUUGGGAAGGGGUUUCUAUACUAUAGGUGAGAUUUUGACCCUUUUGCUUAGUAGGUUAAUGAUUGAGCUAGUAGUUGUUCGUUUACUUCUUGUAGCUCACUUUUUGAUACUUCUAGGGUGCUAGGAGUUUAGUGGACAUCUUCGUUGGAGCAAACAAAGGGUUGCGCGAAGUUUGGUAGGUUUGACCUAGCCUAGCAUAUGAGAAAUUCUCAUAUCCGAUGUCUUAUGCUUCGUAAAGUAGAAAUUCAUGCAUUUCCAUAAUAAAUAUAUUUAUUGUGAAUUUUAGGAUGCUUAAAAUGCCUACAUUAUAUAUAAUGCAUUUUUUGGACCUCUAUGUAGUAGAGAGUAGCAUGUGAGACUUAUGCAUGUGCUUAGUAUUCUAGAUAUGAUUCAAGAGCAUGUUUUAUAUAGUGAGAAUGAGAGGGAUAAUGCGCAUUUAGACAUAACUCUCAUGUUGGACAUAGGACCAUACAUAAUGCCAUGAAGAGGCUUGAAACUUACACUAUUAGCUUACUACUGAACCAAUGUUAUAAAGGGGCAUUGGGCUUGUAAUGUAGUUGGGACAAGUGAAACCUAGUGUCAUAAAGCGGCACUAGUGUUGGGACAAAAUUUGGACUUAGCGUAAUAUAAUGCCAUCAAAGAAUAUAGAUGUACAUGAUGCAUAAUUUAGUAAGCUAAUGUCGAAAAAGGGGCAUUAAUUGGACUUGGAUUUGAUGUAGUAAAGCUAUGGUCCUUGACAUAGAAAUUAUUGAACGAUUAAACCUCAUAUUGAGACAUUGAACUAGACCUUCGGGUUAUUAGUGACUUUUACCAUGUUAGAGACAUGAUAAUUGGGUACUUGAGACGAUGAUUAUGCUUGUUUGCCAUUUGUGCUCAUUCGCACAUGCUUGUGAGGGUCGCUCCCUACAAGCCGGCACUCCGGAGUUGGCCUACGCGACUUAUGAUCGCUCGUGCGGUAUCGAGAAGCCUACGGAGUCGAGAGGGAUAGACUCAUUUCUAAAGUGGAAAUGCUGGAACUACCACCGACACUUAGGCGGUUUAAGCCGGACUACGCUCGUGUAGGUCCUAAAACAAGAUUGAACUUGGACAUAAUUUCUUAAAUUUGAAUCACUGCUAGAUAGAUCAUAGUAGUUGGAUUAUUGGACAUACUCAUGGUGUGGCUUUGAGAUAUUGAGACAUGUAGUAUACUUGAUAGAAUUACUUAUCGCAUCUUAGUAUACUUGGCAGCUGAUGAGCGUAUUUACCCGACAUUGGCAUAUUCAAACAUGAUAGCAUUGAUAUACAUCACGUUUACUUAUGGCAUAGCUUUUCACUCAUGCUUUCAAUUCUGUAGUUUAUUAUUGUCUAUUACUACUAUUGUUGCUUAUCAUACUUACCAUUUUUUUUGGGGCCUAAUGGUGCAUUGAGCUGAGGUCAGUAAUUGCCCACUGGGAACUAUAAAUUAUAUUUCUCACACCCUUUUGUUUUAUAUUUUAUUUCAGAGCCUUUCACUCCGGGCGAGGCUAGGGACCGUGGAAAGGGUAUCGCCUCGAGCUAACUUGCUAUCGAGGACGUGUUGAUAGGUGGUCUACCUCUCGUUGUUUUAUUUUGGAGAGGUUUUGGAGAGUUACCUGUGUAUAGAGACCACCCCACUGUGGAUUUCUUUGUGAUUCUUAUUGUACCUUUUUAUGCUUAUGCUUAGUGGACUACUUUACUCCUUCUCUACUUGUCACUAGUUUUUAGUUGUUAGCAGCUCUAAUAUCUCUAGAUACUUGUUUCUUCUUGCUUUCGCAUCUCUUUUGUUGUAAACACCUUAUAUGCACAAGCAUAUAGCGGGUCUGGACACGCGCCGAACGGGUCUAUGCUGGGUCCCCGGGCAUGACAUUGAUGCUCUUUUGAUAUGCAUGGUAUAAUUGCUAUAUCAUUUCUAUUUGAUGAUUUUAUUGUAAAAACUUACAAAAGCAAAGUUUUUCAUGAUAUGCAAUUUUUUUUUUAACACGGUUAAAGAUAUUUUGGGAUGGCUUCUUUGUUUUUUUGGUUUUUUAAUUUUCUGUCGUUAUUUUUAGACUGGUCAGGUCGCUACCAUAGAAAGAGAACUUACUCGCACAUCUUUCUCUUUCUCUCUAGAUUUUUUUUUCUUUAUCUUCAUAGUUUUUCUACUUCGUUUGGUUCGAGGAUAAGUAAGAAUUGCCUAUUUCAGGAAUAGGUACAAGCUCAAGUAUAAGCCUGGAAUAAAUCAAUUGUGCGUUUGGAUAAAAAUUGAGUUGUACCCGAAAAUAAAAAAAAAGUAUUUGGAUAAAUAAGAUGGAAUAAGAAGAAUAGUGAUAGUUAUAAAUAGAAAAAAAUAAUAUUGCCCUUUAUAAUUGAAUUUAAAUUUUUAAAUUUUAUAUCUAAAAUUUUAAAUUUAAAUAUAUAACUUUAAAAAUUAAAAAAUUUAAAAUAAAAUUUUAAAUUUUAAAUUUUAAAUUCAAAAAUUUAAAGUUCUAAAUUUUAAAUUUAUGAUUAAAUUUAAAUUUAAAAAUAUCAAAUAUCAAAUUUUAAAUUUUAACAAUUAAAAAUAAUAAUUUAAAAAUUAAAAUUAAAAUUAAAAUUAUAAAUUAUAAAUAUUAAUUUUAACAUUACAAAUUAUUAUAUUUUUAAAAUUUAAAAUUAAUUUUUAAAUUUAAAAUUUAAAUUUAAAAAAUAAAUUGAAGUGGGAUUAGCUAAUCCCAGCCCAAUAUCAGGUGGGGGAGGUAGGGGUUGGAGUUUGUUAUCCCCAUUCCUAACUCCGAUAACCCGUUAGGUCACGCCCCGCAACCGCCAAUUUGGACGGUUCGGGCACGUCAAACAGACGCCGAACGGACUGCACCUCCUCUGUCCGUCCAAGGCUAAACAACAAAGUCAUGUACAUCAAGUUGCCACGGUAAACUUAAACAACAUACAUAAACAUUGCGAGUAUAACAAGCAAGUGAUUACACAACAUAUAAGAGAGCAAAGGAGAGUUCUAUCUAUUACAUUUGACAUCCAACAUUUACAUAAUUAAUUACAUUUCCAUCUCCCAAAAUGUAUACAUAAGGUUUACAAGUUCAUCUCAUCAUACAUAGGUAGCCCUCCAAAAUCCUCACCAACAUAUACACCAUCUAUGCACACGAGGGUACUCUAAAGCAAGUAGGAAAAUCUACUAACUACUAGAGCGCUAUGCCCUUACCGCGAUCCUCGCCCGGUGUACUCGAACUCGGCCCCGCAACAAAGUAGGGUGAGAACUAUAUAAAUAUAGUUCCCAGUGGGUUCGACCGCCGACUCCGUCGAUCUUCUCACUAGGUCUAAGCAGGCAUAAGUAGAUAGAUAUUUGGAAAUAAAUUGCUCACAUAACAUGAAUUCUACUAACAUGUUACUAUGCCUCAAUCAAUAGCAAUGAAUGUAAUCUACAUAGUAAUGAAGUCAUCUAUCAUGCUACUAUGUUCAAGGAAAUAUGUCAUUCAUGUUUUCAUCCAAUCACUCGGUUAACCCGAAGGUUUGCCCACGACUCACAAUGCAAUCCCAUAGGUAAGGAGACCCUCCCGCUCGCAAACCCGAGACCGUCUGCUGGACAAGUACGUUAGUCCAUCACGUGAUGACUCCAGAACUCACUACUUGGGUAGAGCGACCACACCAAGCGAAAACAGACUAUGUGAGUAUGAUCCAAUCCUCGCCAACUGAGGAUACCCUACCAACUAGGGCUAACAAUAGCUCGGGAACUCGACUAUCCCUAAUAUCCAUGUUUAAGUGUUACAUCUACACUAAGUUCACAUGCAAUAUAUCAUAGCUUGGGAAAUUCAUCUAUCCCUAAACUUCAAGUUCAUGUGUUUCAUCUACACUAUAUUUAUCAUGCCACUCGUCAUCUAUGUCAUCAAACAUUGUUUAAUGCCACUCGUUAUGCCACUACACAUAUCAAGUUCUCUACUUGUUUCGGCACCAUAGGAUUUCAAUGUCAAGACCCAAUUCCUUAUAUAUUCAAUAUAUCAUGUGUUCAUCCCACAAUACGAUAUCAACUAAGAAAUCACAUAAGGAAUGGAAAUGCAACAAGCUAUAAUCCUACAAUGCAUAGCAACAUGAGAGAUGCAAGGUCGACAAUGUAACUAAGACAUAGAAAGAAAUUCAACUGCUUCGGGACGGCACCCCCCACCUCUAGGUGAUGCCGCGAUGCUAGGAAUCCAGUUUCGUGAUUUUUAGACGCCGCCUCGACCUUCCAGGAGGAAACGAAGCCAAAACGGUCCUUUUCUCUAAUAUCUUCGCGUAGCCUCGUCGGAUUGCCGAACCGAGACCACGAACGCGUUAGAAAACCUAGCAAUUUGGUUUGUAUAGGAUUAAUUUAGAUCAAACCCUUACAUUUUACAAAACCCCUUUUUAGAGCCCUAAUAUGCUAUUAUUGCAAGAAACCCAAUUCCACUACUUAAUUCAAGCAAUAAGCAUCUAUUUAGCAUCCUAGGGUUCCACUAAAAUCAAUUCUAAAGCAUAUAAUGUAACACAAUGGACUUGUGCAUAUUGCAAGGUUCGAGUGUUUGAUCUGUAUUCUGAGCCUUUCCACAGUUUUUGGAGGGUCGUUGAUAGUGUUCCGACCCAUGGCUCGCAUCCCGAGAAUUGAGGUUUUGAUCUUGGCACCAAAAUCGAGAAAAUUGGAUUAAAUGGUCUGCUCUCGGGUUGCCUCUGCAGGAUUGUGUACCGAUACAACCUUGAUGGUUGUACCAGAACACAUUGUGUACCGGUACAGCCCUGAUGGUUGUACCGGUACAGAUGUGGAUUAUAGCCAACCCGAGGCUCGGGUUUGUGUUUUCGUGGGAUUUGUACCGGUACACUUUCCCGUGUACCGGUACACUUUGGCAGAAUCUGAACUGGUCGAACUGCAUGAGUGUUUUUGCGAUUGUGGCCUAUCUAUAAGUAACCCCACGCCCCUUUGUUGCUUCCCUGAGCUUGGGAACAGAGGAGAGAAGGUAGGGGAGCCCUCCACUCCAUCUCUUUCAUUUUCUUUUGAUUUUAGCUUGGGUUUUUGAAGUUAAUUCCUUCUUUUUGCUUCUUUCUUCUUCUUGGUGCUAUUUCCACCAAGGGAGAAGCUCUAGCUUGGUGUUUGAAGCUUGUAGCAAGGAAGGACUUCAACCCUAGCUUGCUUGGAGGCUUGUCUUGGAACUCUUAAGAGGUUAGUAACAUGUUUCUAGCUUUUGAUUCAUGUUUUGGUAGAUUCUACCCUUUGGAACCCUAAAAAUGAGACUUAGGGUUAUUUUUGGGGAUUUUAGAUUUGUAGCUUCUAAAACCAAAUUGAUUGGUUUAGAACCUUUGUUUAGGUUGGGUUUGAGGGACUCUAACUCCCAUUUGGAGAUCGUGUGAGGUUUCUUCGCAUCCGGUGAGUUUUCUUCACCUUAGCUUGGGUUGUUUAAUGUUUGAUCAUAUGAUUGUUCGUAACGUUCGUGUAUCCCUCCUUUUGUAACCUUUAGGGUACUAGGAGAGUAGUGGACACCUUCGUUGGAGCAAACGAAGGGUUUCGAUUAGUUUCGGUGGGUUUGGCUUUAUUGGAAUAGGAGAAAAUUUCUCCUAAGUGGUUAAAUGUCUUCGUUUCAUCACAUCGCAUGCAUAUUCAUGCUAGAUAGAAUUUAUGUGAAUUUUAGAAUGCUUAAUAUGCAUGUGUUAUGUAUUAUAAAAAUUCAUCUCUAUAUAGUAGAGCCUUAUGUGGACUUAACAUGCAUGUGAGUAGCAUUCUUCUUGUGGUUUGGAAACAUGUCUCAUAUGACGAAAAUGACUUGAAUUAUGUAUUCUUGAACACUAAACUCAUGCUUGGACUUAGUGGGCAAAAGUGCCAUAAAGGGGCACUUGAACUAGUAAACUGUGAAACUGCAAUAUAGAGACAUAGAAAUAGGCCAUUGUGACAACGACUAUAUUCCGUAUUUUAGACACGAUGACAUAGUAAUAGACCAUUGAGAUAUAGGUUAUAUUCCAUAUUUUAGACAUGAUGACUUGAGACUUGAGACAGAUUUUACGCUUGCUUGCCCUUGUGCUCAUUCGCACAUGCUUGUGAGGGUCGCUCCAUACAAGCCGGCACUCCGGAGAUAGCCAUCGCGAUAUAUGCUCGCCGGUGCGGGAUUGGGCGCCGAAGUGGAUUGCCGUGGGGGAGGCUCAUUCCUAGAGUGGGGAUGUUGACUACCACGGGGCCAUUAGGCACGGCACAAGCCAGAUAGCCUAUGGGUGUGUCCUACAAGAUUGCAACUAUAAGUAGUUAAUAUGCCAAGUGGAUUUGAACUAGAAUAGUAAACAAUAACAUCUUACUAUUUUUGUUGUGGACAUUAUGUUGGUUGCAUACUCAUGCUUAUUCAUAUUAGCAUAGCUUUCUUACUUAUACAAAUCAUGCUAAAUAGAGACAUCAUGUUAUAGCAAGCAUUCAUGUUUAUUUACUUGCUGUUCAUUUCGAUAUUUACUCGCUUCUACUUACUUGCUUAGUUUUGGGCCUAGUGGUGCUUUUCACUGAAGUCAGUAAUUGCCCACUGGGAACUAUUAUUUAAUAGUUCUCACGCCCCCUGUUUUAUGAUUUUAUUUCAGAGCCUUCAGCACCGACGGAGGCACGGGAUCGCGGCAAGGGAGUCGUAUAGCUAGUUAGCACGGAGCUUGCUUUUGCUCCUAGAUGGUCUACUCUCUUUUUGUGUUUUGGUGAGAGAGAGUUUUGUUACCAUGUAUAGAGACCACCAUUGUAUUUUUCUUAGUCCUUAUACUUGGGAUUUUAGUGGUAUUACUUUAUGGUUCUUUACUUAGUGGAUUUUAUGUUGUACUCUUCUGUUGUAGAAUUUAGUAGUACUUUGCUCUGAUAUCGCUAAAUCUCUUUGUAUUAUUAUUUUAUUUAUUGCUUUAUUGUAGACGCCUUAUAUGUUUUAGACAUAUGGCGGGUCUGGACACGUGCCGGGCGGGCUUCCGCUAUGUCCCGGGGCGUGACAUAAACCUAACCCUAGAAAUCCACCAUUGUUGCCCAAGAAGCUUACCUCAAUAGCUUUCCUCUCUUGAGCCUAGGAAGAAGAAGAAGAUGGCACUCCACUUUCAAGCUUCCUUCUCCACCAAAUCUCCCUUCUCCUUUCCACCUUGAAGAGAGAGAGAAAGAGAGCUUAGAUAGAGAGAGGGAGAGUGUUUAGGGUUGCUAGUGUGAGGGAGUGAGAGGAGAGAGCUCAUAUCACCCUUAAAUAGCUUCCACUAAUGUAGAAUUGCAAGAAUCCCCCUCAACUAUGUAAACAGUGCACAGUUCGCACUGGGCUGUUCGCAGCUACGGGGUCCGGACCCUGGGGAGGGUCUGGACCCCGAGAGCAGGAAAAUCCUGCAAUUUUGCAGAAUCACCUCUACCAGCUAUCCAAAGUCCCCUACCCCACAGAUCAAUCUCCUCCCAAUCUUUGUCACUUAUCAAUGUUGGCUUAUUCAAUUUUCCGAACAACGCCUUAUGAAUGCCUAAUUAUACCAAAAAGGUUUCUCUUUUCUUUACAAGAUUCACUUUUCUCUACAAAAGAUAGAAGUUUUCUUUACCAUCAAAUUCUUUUACCUCAAACUCAGAGAUGAGACAUUUGAUAUCUCUGUUGUAGCGCAAAUCUUAAGCUCUGAUACCACUUGUUGGAAACUGGAUGGACUGUCCUUUUAUAAGAAAAUGCAUGUGCAUGCAUGUGCAAAUAUUGCAUUAGAAAUAAAUUUUUUUUAAUAAAAUAUGAUCCCAUCAUGUAUAUCUUAAUAUCAUAACAUUUAUAAUAUAUAUAUAUAUAGUGGGCUGGUAUGCUUCUGGAAGCAUAGAGCGCUCCGUGCUUCUAAGUCGUUUUCAAUGUUGCGACUUUCGAAUCGACGAUCGGCUCCAUUAGAGUUGAUCUAGAGUAUUUGAAGUACCUAGAAAAUAAAUUUUGCGAUUUUUCGAUAUCAUUUGCCUAGUGAUCGAAUGGGCUCAAAAUCAGUAAUUUUAAUGGCCGUGGUGAGCCGUUUGCAAGUUUAACGGUGUAGAAAUAUCUAAAUCACGUGAAAUUUUGAUAGAAAAUUCUUUAUACUAUAUAAAACAAGAUGAAUAACUUUGAUCUAAAAUUUUAAUGUCAUAUCAUCAUAUUUUGUAAGAUUUUUUAUUUCCAGCCGUUGAUUUUGAGCAACUUCGAUCACUAGGAAAAUGAUAUCGAAAAAUCACAAAAUUUAUUUUCUAGGUACUUCAAAUAUUCUAGACCAAGUCUAACGGAGCCGAUCGUCGAUUCAAAAGUCCCAACAUCGAAAAUGACUUGGAAGCACGGAGCGCUCCGUGUUUCCAAAAGCAUACCAGACGCAUAUNUAUACAAAGAAAUUUUUCCUGUAUACGAAGCGACAGCUGUACCUGUAAACAUACAAUACUCCAAACAGUAGUAUAGAGCUGCUCGAGUAAACAAAAGCUAAACAAACUGAGCUUCAUAUACAUAGUUCAAAAAUCAAAUAUAGAGUUACUCGCACUGGCGAGUUAAGUACUAUGUACAUAAGCUCGAAAUAAAACAACUACCUGCAGUAGGGUGCCUCUAGCUCUGCUCGGCGGGUAGGGCUCUAACUCGCGACGCCCUUACCUCGAUCCUGAUCCGCGGAAGGCGCAGCAGCCGAAACCUGUGGCUCUGCAAAACAGGGGUAACAACUGGGCGUGAGAACUACUGUAAAAACAAGUAGUCCUCAGUGGGUGCCGCCCAAAACAACAUCGGUCCACCCACUAAGUCUACAGAAAGGAGCAAUGGUAAAAGUAAAAUGCUGGAAUGAACUCUAAAGCUACUAGUCACUACACCAUCCUGCUCUAUACUAACCCACUGUAGGAAAUGUCAAAACUGACCCAAUCCAAUCGAGACUGUAAACAUACCCGUCCCGGGGACUGUGAAUACACCCGUCCAUGCCCAGGUGUGACUAUCCAGCUACCUCCACACUAACUGGUCCGUGGAGAGCAAGCCCAACCGGCAUGAGCGACACCAAGGCGAAAGCACAAAGCCCGUCUCCGGAGUGGCACUCGUGGGCACUACCCAACCGAGUAUGCAGCGUAUCUCUGUCGAGCUCAAACAAGUUCUGAAAAGCCAAAGUCAAGUAACCGACUCUAUCUGGUCUAACAACCAACCGUUCACGUGCCCUCGGCACAAUCUGUCGCCAAAAAGGCGAUCCGAGUCCACCGUCAACCUUACGGCACCCAACAGUUCGGAACAGCCCAAACGACCCUGUAAAAAUCCACUCGGCAUACCAGCACGAGUGUAAUUGUAUGCUAAACUACCUGAAGUACUCGUCUAGAGGAUACUGCGACAGUACAAUUUUAUAACGGCUCCUAGAGCUAAAUCAGGCAGUUUAAACAAGUGAGAGGACCAAAUCGCAGGUUUUCUCCUAAUUCCAAUACCAAGUCCAACAUGUAUAAACUACUCAAUUUAUUACCACAUGCUCCAAAUUCAGAUUUGCAAUCUAUAAUAUAAUCCAUGAAUUCGAGCUAGAAUAGAUUAUACCAAAAAUCAGAAUUUAUACAUGUCGAUGAUUAGAACUUAGAAGUCAAAACCGAUGUAACCCACCUCAAAGCUUAUCCCUGGCAGCACGGAACUCCCUCGGCUGCGGCACAACCUGCUGGAUCGAUUGAAAAUGUCCGAGUCUCGAAAUCAGCUAUCUCCAAGCUAUCAACAUCGAAAGUCCACAAUUCACUCUAAAUACACAGCAGCAGAGAAGAGAAGGGUUUUGACCAAGCUAACCUAGACCAAAAUCCACAAGUAAGGGCUUCGUGGAUUCCUCUCGCAGUCCUGAAUCCAAUGAACCAAGUCUUGUCGCAAUCCGAUGCUCCUACGUUGAGUACGAUCUGAAAUACUAACGGUCGACGGCAAAUUUCAGCAAAACAGCAUCUUGGAGCUCGAAGAAGUAAAAACUAGCCAAAACGAAGGAAGUGCUAGAUAACCAACCUCGACCGCGACUAGCACUGGUGCGACGUCACAAACGGCAAACAUCCGCACUCGCCCGGCCUCCUCGCGAUGCAACGGCGGCAACCGUAUCCUCGAACGGCUCUGCGGCGCGACGUCGGCGACGAAAGCUCCAACCGAGCCCUUCCUUGCCUUCAACCAGAUGAGAGUGAGAGAGAGAUGAAGAUGGAGCAAAAUGGCUCCUCUCUCUCUACGUAAAGCUAUAUAGAGAGAAAAAGAGUUGGUGAUACAAACGAAGGAUAAAAUUACCCAAUUAGCCCUCUACCUACCCUCUUGUACCGGGACACGGACUCCUGUACCGGUACAAGAGCCAACCCGAGAGCAACUUGUGCGUAGCCUCGCUAGUUGUACCGGUACAGCCACGCUGGUUGUACCGGUACAGCAAGCAGAGAAAUCUGCUGUUUUGCAGAUUUCUUCGCUAUAAGUUGUCCUCGCAUCGCACGGAGUCCGUUUUGCGUCUAUUUGACGCCAACGCGAUUCGGACUUGUUCCGACACUCUCCAGAGCUGCCGACAAGCCACCACAGCUGUACACCAGGGACCUCACAUCGAAAAUUUUAGUACUAUAUCACCACUUUUUAUAGAAUUUUGAUUUUCAGCCGUUAAAAAUUAUAGAUUUUGAAUCCUUUNUAUCACCACUUUUUAUAGGAUUUUUAUUUUCAGCCGUUAAAAAUUAUAGAUUUUGAAUCCUUUCGAUUGCUAGUUAAAUGAUAUCGAAAAAUCGCAAAAAUUAUUUUCUAGAAACUUCAAAUAUGCUAAAUCAAGUCUAACGGAGCCGAUUGCCGAUUUGGAAAUUCCAUCAUGGUAAACGGCUCAGUAGCACGGAGGCCAUCGUGCUCCUGAGAGCACAGCAGUUCUGCUAUAUAUAUAUAUAUAUAUAUAUAUAUAUAUAUAUAUAUAUAUAUAUAUAUAUAUAUAUAUAUCAAGAUCAUCUUGUGUGACACACAAAAGUUAUUAUUCAAAUCUAAUUAGAAGAAGGAUUUAAAUUUCAACAUUUACUAAUUAGCAGAAUUAUUUGUUGACUGAUAUUAGAUCUGAACUUUUGAUCCUUUGAGCUGCACAAGUGCCUGGCCUCUAUAUGUAUCCACUCAAGAUUGCUCCGAGAUCUGUAUUUUACACAAUCACACUGUAGUUUCGAAACUCCUUUCGUGAUUUCUUUUGUCAAUAUAGAAAAGAUUAAUCCUUAAAUUAUGCUAGCAAUUUCAAAAGAAUUACCUAUAAUAUAGAAAUCAAUUAUUAUAAGAGAAUCUCUCUCUUAUAAUUAAAAGAGAGCUUUAUAUAAUUGGAAGAGUCUUCCCUCUUUCACACUUCACUUUGUGUUCCACUUCUUGAGGGAGAUUACUCUCUUCCUUUUAUAGGCCUAAAAGCCAUUAGGCGGAGAGUAAGCUCCUCUAGUUGUUGACAAAGAGAAUGGAUAAGAAAUCGCCACCAUAAAUGAGAGGAAAUGAACUCCUCUCAUUUAAUAGAUGAAACAGAGAGAAAAAAAAAAAAAAGAUGGAAGGAAGAAAGAGGAGGAAGUUUUCUUUUCCAAUUAAUUAACUAUAUCAUUAAUAGGGUGAGUGAAUGCCUGAAUUUACUUUUUCAUUCUCGCUCCCUCACUUUCAUCACUUUGUAACUCCUCCAUUAAUAUUUAUUAAUUGAGAAGUUGAUGAGAGAAAGAUAGCUUUUAAUAUUUUUUGUGCACUUGCACCGUAUGCAACAAUUAUAUUUAACUCUAUAAUUUUUAAUUUCAUAAAUUGGUCCUUCUUACUAAAACAACUUAGCAAAUAAAUUCUUACUUUACUAUUUCAGUAUGGUCUCUAUAAAUUCUCCAAGCACUCAAUCACACGUAGUUUUAUUUUAUGUGAUCACAUAAGUUCUAUUUCACCUAAUAGUAAGAUGUGAUAUUAAACUCUUUUAAUAUUACCAUUGGAACUUUCGUAUAGACCAAAUAUUUUUGUCUCUCCUAACUGAAUGUGAUUAAUCAUCUUAAUCACUCUCGUUUUGGUCCCACAAUCCACAAGUGACACCUAAUAGUAUAUCGCAGAAAUCCAAGUAGAAUGAAUAAUGGACUGAACCUCUAGGUGUAGUUAUCGUGUGAUUAAAUUAUUCUAUCACUUGUCUGGUUGAAUCGAGGUUAUGAAUAACUUGUCAAACUCUAUUACGCAAUUAUAUGUCUUAUCUGAUUAACAAUUGAUAUAUGAAAACUCUUUUCCAUAAAAUCACACUGCCUUGGCUAAUAGCUUUUAUAUCUUGUAAAACAUAUAGUAUAUGACAAUUACUUCUCUACAAAGGAUGAUAGAUUAUAUCUUGACACACCUCAACCAAUACAUAUGACCUACUGCAGCCAAUAUGUGUCACUCUAACUCAUAAUAUUUAAAGAAUAAAGUAUUUACACAAUCAAAUUAUAGUAAUCUACAUGCAAGACAACCAUAGUGCCUCAUGUGAAAGGAUCAUUCACACUACUGCAGUAUGGAGCAAUUUAUUGACGAGUGACUAGACAUUCAUGUGAUUGUUUAUAGUUAGUCACGCUCAGUAAAAUUAUUCUCCAACAUUCACCUAUAUGCUUGCUCUAGUAUCACCACACUAAUAACUUAGGACUCGUCAUCCCAUAAGGGAUACUGGCCUAAUCAGAUUUACCAUCGUCCUUGUGUAAUCCUAUGAUUAUGAGCAUUUCAAAAUUAAUUACAGAAAAAUACAUGUAUCAAAUUCCUACCAAUUUAGGAAUAUAAUUUUCUACCAUUAAUUCUAUGAACAAUUAAUUCAUGUAUAUAUUUGGCAAUAAAAUGAAUGAAAAAUGUCAGUAUAUUAAUUUUAAUGAAAGAUACAUUGAUAUUAACCCCAUAAUUUAUGUCACUAAUUGGCUUAUAGUACAUAUAAUUAACUAACACCAUUAUGCAUGCUACAACACAAAUAGGCUGUAGGGACAUAUUUUUGGGACACUUUUAUAUAAUUAACUUGUUGAGGCUAGGAGCAUUAUCCAAGAGCAGGUUCUGAUGCCUAUUUUUGAUACAGAUGCAUGAACUUUAGUUUGUUGUCUAAACCAAUGUUUACUGUUUAGUAGUUAGUGCAAGUUUUUAAUCCCUUCCUAGUAACAAAAGGUAGUUGGUGCGAGUUUAUAUGGAACUUGUGAGAGUAACCUGGUAUGUAUGUUAAAUAACCAUGCAGACUUCUAUAAUGUCCAAGCAUUUUGCCAAGUCUGACAAGCCAAGGUAGUUUCAGAGUGCUUUACUUUUUUCUUUUUUCUUUUUUUUUCUCAAUCCCUUCAUUUUAUCUUGAUUUGCCUAUUUAUGUUUCUCUCCUUUUGUGUAGGAGAUUAAGUGGCCACUUAGAUGCCGAGAGGGAAAGUAUCCAUUCAGCAUUAACUGAGGUAGGGAAAAAGUAAUUUCUUUUCUCUAGAUUUUGUUUGCAAUUAGUUUGAUCUAUUCCUCCAACACCAUGAUAACGUAGGUCGAUAUGUUCUAUUGGAACAAUCACUUCAUUGAGUUGCUAUCGUUAGUUUGAUCUGUGCCUUUUUUUCUUAAUAUACUAAUUUGAUUAUGAUGUAAAUUCGUUUGGNGCUAGCAGGGAGCUAAAGCUCCUGGGCCAGAUCUGCCUAGAUCUGGCCGCAGCCUGCCUAGGCGGCGGCGGCAGUGCGCAGGGACGACCGGGACGGCGCCGGGGCUUCGUCGGAGGUCGGGCAUGGCCAGGGGAUGGGGGCCCAAGGGUGAUGAUCUCCUAGGUGGUCCUCGGGCAGAGAUGGAGAGGUGGAUAGGUGGAUUGGUUGAGAGAGAAGGAUGGAGAGGGUGGCCGGGUUCUAGUUUUCCGGCGGCCGGGCACCUACCGGCGGCCGGGGUGAGAGCAUGGCUAGGGCAGGGCUACUCUGAGGUCGGCUAGGGCACAGAUGGGGCGCUGGGUCGAGUAGAUCUAGGGUUUCGUGCAUAGAAACCCUAGAUGCACAUUGUAUACAAGGUGCAAUUUUGCACAAAAGUCCACCGAAACUACAAAUUUCAAACCUAGUCCUUCACAAUGGGUAACUCUCGCGCUUUUACACCUCCACAAUCGAUCUCGAGUGAUUCAGUACAUAAAAUAUUACGACUUUUGCGAAUUUUCCAAAUUGUCACCUUCGACCUCUUAGCGAUAACUUUGCAAUUACCGGAGAUCCGUCCAUCGGAUUUUCGAUCCGACAGCGCCCUCGCGUUCAGCAUGACGAGGGCAUCAAAACUACAAUCUUGUUUCAUCAGAUUUGGUCACGAAUUCGCGACGGAACCCAUCUGCUCUCCAAUUUCCAAAAACCACACACAUAUACCAAUGUGUAAUCCCACUAAAUCCUAGAUUCAAAUUCAAAUUUGAAUCUCCUACCACUAGUAGGUAUAGGUAACAUCUCUCAUCCAUCUCCAGAUCACUUGUACAAAGCACGAGGAGUUUUAAAAUGCACGAAUAGCAAAGAGCAGAAACCAUCUUUUUGUUAAAACUCCUUUUUCUCGGAAACCGUGCAUCGGAUCUGAAAUCCGUCAGUGCCAUUGGUUCCAGAAUAGUAGAAUCAUUCGAAACGAGCUAUUGGAUCGCUAUGAACGGAGUCCGAUACGCGCCGGAAGCCAACUCUACUCCGUGGCUUCUCCGGAAAACCGGAGUUACUAUUCACUUAAGUGAAAACCAAAAAUCGCGUAUCUUCUCCAUUUUAGCUCAUUUUCUCCUGAAACUUGACGAGUGCUUAUGUAAUUAAAUUACACACAUAAACAUCAUCAAUAGAGAGUUUAGUUGCACUAUAAAAAAAUCUCAGUCCUUACAAGUUCUGCAACAAUUGUGUACACUUUGUUAAUAGAUACAUGUGAUAGAAUUUCAACAAGAGUCUCUUUUUUUUUUAAUGCUUUGGCAAAUCAAGGAUGUUGCACAAAUUUGAAUUAAUUCAAAUAUUUUUCAAUGUACAGGUUCAAGUAUAUAGUCGUGGGGGCCGAUCAGAAUUCGUUUAUGCACUUUUUGAUUUUUGUUAUCAAACAAUUUUUGAUUUUGUAUUUUUUCAGUUAGAGAGUUUAAUUUGUUAUAAUUACUACAACAUAUGAGUGGAUAUUAUUGUUGCAACGUAUGGAUAUUUGAUUUUAGUUUUAUCAUUUUAACGAGAAUUUCAGUUAGAGAGUUUAAUUUGUUAUAAUUACUACAACAUAUGAAUGGAUUUUGUUGUUGUGACGUAUGGAUAUUUGAUUUUAGUUUUAUCAUUUUAACGAGAAUUUAAGAAACUUUGUUGAUUGUUUUUUUUUUAGUCUCAUUGAUUUAAUGUACAUGAAAUUAGUUUAACUAAAGUUUAAUACUAGACUAGAUGUUUAAAUAAAAUAUUAUACAUUGAAUGACAAUGGGACACUUAUAAAGUGUCACUAUAUAAAAAAAUAUUACUUUAAAAAAAAAAAUAGGGACACUUAUGUGUGUCACUAAAAGUAAAAAAAAAAGUGUCACUAAACUGCAACAUUUAUUUGGGAUAUACCGACACUUUAUUUUGUGUCGCUAUAUACCCUAGGGACUGCACAUAUAGCGACACUAAUUUUAGUGUCGGUAUUUUUGUCGGCGGCAUUUUUUUAGCUUUUAGGGAAACUUAAAAGUGUCGCUAUAGUUCAGUUUUGUUGUAGUGGCAUUACUAACCCAAAUGCUUGAAAAACGGAGAAAAAAACGAACAGUAAAAGAAAUAAAUAUAAAAAAAAGAGGUCAAGAUUUAUGUGGUUCAAUAAUUUCCUACGUCUACAGAAAAAACGAAAGAGAUGUAUUCCACUAUAUGAAGAAAUAAAAAUAUAAGUUUACACCUUAUGUAUUCUUCAAAUAAAAAAAAUCAAGAGCUUUAUAUAUGGUGAAAUCUACCUUUCUCUUAUUCUAAUGAAAACUCCACAAAAUAACCACAAAAAACUUUUUGUGGAAUCGUAUUGAGAAGACUAAAUAAGAGAAUGUAGAAAUCUCUGACUAAAUUCAUUAAGCUGUUGCUUCGAAGAUUCGAACAAGUCAGGCAAUUGAUCAAGAACUUUGCUUCGCUGCAGCCUUCAAUCUGCCGCAUGCACGCUGCCUCCUUUCCGCCGUCGUACGGCCACCCGAGAACAUAUAUUAAUUAGCCAACUCCCUGCAUGUUAAUUAAUUCGGCCCACACCCCCGCAACGGUUCGUGUACAUGCAUACAUAUAGAUGUAUUAGCCCAGUCCUACUUAAUUAAUUCAAUGUCAACAUUGAAUGUAGAGUUUUGUAUGGAAACAAAGCCUGGUCCAACCUCGACUUCAGCAAUAGAAAUCAACUUGAUAUCCUAUCUAAAUAUUUCAUUGACCCGGUGCAUAAUAACAAAAGAAGGCACAUUUCAUGACAGCUAUGUACAUGAACUCUAGUAGGGGAUCUCAUUUGUAUGCCUUUUUUAAUUGAAUUCUAUAAACUAAAUGGCAUAGAGUUCUAUAUUGUAAUAUAAAUUAACUAUGAGAGGACCCCAUUUGUAUUAAAAAAAAAGAAAAUGGUGAAAGCCAUUAGCUUCUAAAAUUUAAUUGCCAAUUCUCUAAAAAUUUGAAAUUUUCUAUUGUGUCACCUUGCAUUUAGAAUUUUCUAUGUUUAAUAUUCGGAACCAUGAACUGACCGUUCCUAGCGCAAGUGGCAAAAGGGCUUGGUGGUUGAUACCCGAGACCCAAAUUCGAAUCCUAGUUAAUUCACAUUUCCAGUUAAGUUUAUUUCUAAAUUAAAUAAACGAAACGGGUAGCGUGCUACCUACCUCUCAAAAAAAAAAAUUUCGGAUCCAUGAAUACUUAUAAAUUUUCUAUUUUGAUUUUUCUCUUUUAUUUGCAAUUAUUUCAUUUGUAUGUUUCUGUAGUACGACUCUAUCGAUCAUCAGUUAAGAGAUCAUGAUUUCUUUUUCUUAUUAUCGAUUUGAUCCAUGCACCAAGUUUGUGAAAAUUAAUUAGAGACAUUAUUUGGAUUCUUAUUGGUGGAUUCCAAUUUAAGUCAUGACCUGGUUUUCUAUAUAUUACUCUUAAGUCAAGUUGACUUUGAGAUGGAGUACAGUAAGGAUUUAGAACUCACAUGUAUCUAUAGUUGAAUACUAUAUAUAUAGAGAGAGAGAGAGAGAGAGAGAGAGAGAGAGAGAGAGAGAGAGCAGGACUGCUGUGCUCUCAGGAGCACGGAGGCCUCCGUGCUCUUGAGCCGUUUUUUAUGAUGGAAUUUUCGAAUCGACGAUCGGCUCCGUUAGACUUGAUCUAACGCAAUUGAAGUUUCUAGAAAAUAAUUUUUGCAAUUUUUUGAUUUCAUUUACCUAGUGAUCGAAAGGAUUCAAAAUCCAUAAUUUUUAAUGGUUGAUAUCUGCCGUUUUCAAGUUUAACGGUAUAGAAGUAUUCAAAUCAGAUGAAAUUUUGAUACAAAAUUCUUUAUACUAUCUAUAACAAGAUCAAUAUUUCUGAUCGAAAAUUUUAGUACCAUAUCACCACUUUUUAUAAGAUUUUUAUUUUCAGCCGUUAAAAAUUAUUGAUUUUGAAUCAUUUCGAUUGCUAGGUAAAUGAUAUCGAAAAAUCGCAAAAAUUAUUUUCUAGAAACUUCAAAUACACGCUAAGAUCAAGUUUCAACAGAGUCGAUCGUCGAUCGAAACUCCAUCAUCGAAAACGGCUCAGGAGCAACGGAGGCCUCCGUGCUCUGAGAGCACAGCAGCCCUGCUGCUCCUGUCUCUCUUCGCCUUCUCUCCUCUCUCUCCCUCGUCUCUCUCUCUCCUCUCUUCUCUCUCCCUACAUAUAAUAGUUAUAUACAUAUAUAUAAUAUAUAUAUAUAAUAUAUAUAUAUAUAAUAUAUAUAGUAUAUAAUAUACUAUAUAUAUGAUGAGCUAGAAUACUAUCGGUAGUAAAACGAAGCCGUUUUAACUCCUCGAUUUGUUUAUCGAUGAAUAGAACUUUCCUAAUGAAGAUCGGCUCCUUGCAACAUGAUCUAUAUCCGACUUGAAGUGUUUAGAAAUCAAAUUCAAAUCUUUUGCGACAUCAUUUUCCUAAUCUCAAAGGUUUCAAAUUUUAAUUUUUAAUGGUUUAUAAAGAGUGUUAUUCUUCUUUAAACGGCGUAAAGAAUAUCAAAUGCAAUUGAAUUUUUUGUUAGAAAAUUCUUUAAACUAUUAAACCCAAGAUCUAUAACUCUGAUCUUGAUUAAACAGACUCACUAUCAUCAUUUUAAACGAGGUAUCCAUUCAGCCAUUCAUUUUUCUGUUCCUGAAUGGAUAAAAGAACAAUAUCGAAAGUGGGGAAAUUGAUUUCUAGGUUAUUUAAAUGGUUUUAGAUCAUAUUAACAGAGCCGAUCGUCAUUUGGAACUCCUACAUCGCAAAACAAAUCGGUAGUAAAACGGCUCGUUACUACAAUAGGAUUCUAGCUCAACUCUAUAAUAUAUAUAUAUAAUUUAUAAAUAUAUAUAUAUAUAUAUAUUAUAUAAUAGUAUAUAUAUAGAUCCAACUGCUAUACUCCCUCGUAGCUACGGAGCUUUCCAUGCUACAACGUUGUUUCGAUGUAUUGCGAGCUUUCAAAUCGACGAUGACGCUCUUAACGAGUGAUACACCUGAACUAUUGGAAAACUAACUCAGAUUUUUCAACAUCAUUUGCUCACAUGAACAAAGUCUAAAAUUGACAAUUUAAUGGUAGAGUACCGCAUUGUAAAUUUAACGGUGUAAUAUACUCCAGAAAAUCAAGAAUGAAAUUUUAUAGAAAAUUUUUUUUACUAAUUAAGUAAUAUCAGUAUCUCUGAUCUUAAAUUUAACGUUUUCUAUAUCAUUUUUUAUGAGAUUUUUUAUUCAGCCGUUAUUUUUAAACUACCGUUUCGAUAGUAAAUAUACCAAAAAAAUCAGAUAAUUUUAAGUUUCCCAAAUACUCAUAUAGUGUAGAUCAAUCUAAAAUAACGGAAGGAAUCGUCGAUCUUGAAAGCGGCAUCAUUGAAACCAACUUGUAGCAGCGGAGGUGUCCGGCUACCGAUAUCAAUAGCAGUCUUAGCUCUAGUCUAUAAUAAUAUAUAUAUAAAAUAUAUAUAUAUAUAUAUAGUACGUUCCCUCUUUCGAAAGUACGAGGCCCUCCGUGCCUUGUAAAGUAAGUUUCGAUGAUAACACAUUUGAUUUGCCCCAUUCGCUCCGUUAUCAUAAUUCUAGCAUUGGAACUAUUGUAGAAACCAAAAUUUAUAAUUUCGACUUAUUUACAAAUGAAAUACUAACGAUCAAGGUCUCAAAAAAUGACUAUUUUAACGGCCAAUGUAGCAUCGUUAGUUCAACGUAUAGAUAGUUACCAAAUACAUGACACUUGUAUUAAAAAAUUCAGCUAUACAACAAAGCAAGAACAAUUACUUCGAUUUGAAAUUGAGUCAUUAUACACUAUUUAUGAGAAUUUUUAUUCAAACGACCGUUCAUGUUUGAGAAUUACUACUGUUCACAUAGGCAAUACCCGAAAAAAUUUUAAAAAAAUUAUGAAAUUGAUUUCUAAUGGUUCUAAUAGCGUAAACAUGUUCUAACGGAACCGAUCGCCGAAUUGAAUCCCAUCAUCGAAAACAACUUACACAAGUAUGAGACCUCCCGUACUUUGGAAGCAUAAGGAGCCCUAGCUCUAAUAUAAUAAUUAUAUACUAGUAUAAUAUAUAUCUAGUAAUUAUAUAAAUGUAUAUAUAUAUUAUAUGUAUAGAAUAACUAUGCUAUAUAUAUAUAAUGUAUUAUCAUAUAUAUGUAUAUAUAUAUAUAUAUUAUAUAUAAAGAAGAGAAGAGAUGAGAGAGAGCGAGAGAGGUGUAGCACACUGGACCUUUGCAAAUUGCGAAGAUUUCGAUGUUCGAUGUGAUUUCAACUUUUCACACUUGGUUGAGGUCCGUCGAUGGUAAGCCGGCUAAAAGUUCAAUCUCGAGAAGUUUAUUGGUUAUCCUACUAGUUUUACUCUCGGACCGUCCCUGAUAUGAGAACCCGGUCCCCCAAGUGAACAGUGCUGCGUAGCAGCGAGGCAACCGUCCUGGCAGUUGAGACCGGUCCCCGAUGCGCGUCUGCGCGGGGAGAGAUCCGUCCGCGCCGGAGAGACCUGGUUCGCCUUCGAUACGUUUGGAUUUCGGGGCAAGGCUGAGAGACGCUGUCCAAGGUCGGGAGACAGGUCGCCUCUGGGUCGAAUAACUGCCCAUCGGCCAUAUUAAAUUGAGUUUUGAGGGCCUAUUGAUUGUUACAUUAGAGGCAUAGGAAGCCUUCCCUCCCUCACACCUCUCAUUUUCUCUCCUCACACUCUCCACACUCUAGAGAAGAAAGCGGAAGCGAAGAAAGAGAAGAAGGGAGAAAGGACUUGCCAUAGAGGCCUUGAGCAUUCAUCUUCUUAUCCCUCAUUUCCACGCUUGAGGGCUUGAGCAUCGGUUGAGCCUUGGGAGGAUCAAAACUCCAACCCUACUUGGUUUGAUGAUUGGGGCUUCCUUGAGUGGUAAGGCUUUGUAAUCUCCCAUUGUUACUUGUUUCCUACGUUUUCUCAAUGAAACUCCUACGAUUUUGGAUUUAGGUUUAUUUUGGGGUGGAUUUGCAGGAGUUAUGAGACAUAAAUGAUGGGUGUUGAGAACCUUUGUCAUAGGUAGAGGAGAGACUCUUAGCACUCCCAUUUGGAGAUCGUGACCGGCCUUCCUUGCAAAUCGGUAUGUUUCUCUCCAACCCAGCUUGAGGAACUUAAAUGAUUUGAGCUAUUGCUCUUCUCGUAUUGUGACCUAUUUUGAUGUUUCUAGGAUACAGGGAGCUUGGUGGAUAUCUCGUCGGUUCGUUAAACGAAGAAAUCGAUUUUCGGUGGUGUUUUGACUUCAUGAAAAUGGGCAAAAUGUCCCUAUGCCCUUCUAAACUUUUCGUAAAGAUUUUUUUUAAUGCAAAUUCGUCUAAACAUAGAUUUAUAUGAAUUUCCGAAACACUUUAACAUGCACCUCAUGUAUCGUAAAAUUUGUACUUCCAUAUAAUAGAGAUAGGCGUAGAUCAUCAUAUGGACAUACUGGCGUUUCCGGCAAGUUGAGAACAUGUCUCCAUCUAGAAUUAGGAUAUAUGCAUCAUGAACAUAUUAAGCCCAGCUGGACCAGCAUUGAACAAAGGGUCCAUAAAGAGGCAACUUGGAAUAUUAAACAUACUAAAAGGAGCAACAUUAGAGACAUAAUGACAUAGCCAUUAGACCUUGGGACAUUACGACUACAUUUCCAUGAUUAUUAGACAUGAGGACUUGUACUGUGCGACGAGUCGUUUGACUACUUGCCAUGUGUGCUCAUUCGCACAUGGUUUAAGUGUCGCUCCUCUCCAAGCGCACUUCCGGAAUGGCCAUCGCGAUAACAAUAUUCCCGUGGCGGAUUGGGCGCGCUCGUAAGUGGACUGCGCCGGUGGCCCAGCUCAUCCACGGUGGAUGUUGAUCACCACGGGGCAUUAGCUCCGGCAUCCGGCGCAGGCAGCCUUCGGUGGUUCAGGGCCAUAAGAACCUUCGGUGGUCUCUUCAGAUUCGACUGAUAAUCAUUAUGAGCAUGGAACAGAUGACGACUUAGAGGAUUAUUGGACAUUGAGUAGAAUAGUAAACAACAGGAACUUUACUAAUUUCGCGUGAACAUUAUAUAUGGCGACUUAUACUAUCAGCAUAGUUUCUUUAAUACCUAUCAUUUAUGCUAAGUAGACAUUCUCCUGUCGUAGUAAUUACAUUUUACUUACUCUUCGUUUUCUACUAUUUAUAGUCCUAACAAUCUCUUGAAGCGUGGGCCUUGUGGUGCACCUCACUGAAGUCAGUAAUUGCCCAACUGAACUAUAUUAAGUUCUCACGCCCCUGUUUAAUGUUCCUUUCAGUAGCCUUCUGCUCCGUCGAGGCACGGGAUCGCGCAAGGGGAACGCGCUAGCUAGCAGCGAGAAGCGGUACCCUAGUGUCUUACUCUUCUUUUAGUAGUUGAGAGUGAGGUGGAGUUUCUGAUCCAUUAUAAGAUACUACGCUCUGCUCUACCUAUAGCACUUCUAUUUGGGAUCCUAUUGAAUUUGGUUUACCUUAUCUUAUUUAGUGAUUUCAGUUUUCCUUAUCCUUGUUGUGCAUUAGACAUUAUCAUGCUCUGAUACUCUAGAUCUUUAACAUUGCUUUAUUAUGUGUUUAGACGCCAUAAUGUGUAGAACAUAGGCGGGUCUGGCAAUGUGGGUGUUGUUCGGCAUCGCGGCGGCUUCCGCUGGGAUCCCGGGGCGUGACAAAGAGGAGAGAGGGCAAGAGCAGAGAGAGUCCGGCGUGAACGAUCCGAAGCACCAAGGAUUUUUGUCAUCGUAAAGUUUUCCUACCGUUAGAUUUAACCUCUAAUUAUUUUUACCCGUAGAUCUUAAUAUUCAAGGCCAGACCACUUACUUUACUCAACCCAGGAAACCACAUCAUUAAUCACCGUUUCUCAAUCCAUGGCUAAAAUCAACAGCACCAAUAGUUGGUGUAUCUGAUAUAUACUAGCCUAGUUCUAUAUAUAACUAUAUAUACUAUAUAUAAAUAUAAUAAGUCCGGCUAUGGUGCUUGAUAAAAGUACCAAGUAUUAUGUGGCUUGUAAUUUUACCAUCUAGAUAUACUCCUCUGAUUAUUUUAACCGUUAGAUUAUACAUUCAACCAACUCAAGCCUCUGGCAUGUCCACUCAACCCUAGGGGCCCACAUCACCUAACUCACUAGCAUUCCUAAGAUCACACGUAACAUCUACAAGCAGACACCAAAACUGGUGACCUUUUAAAAAUCAUAGAGCUCAACUUAAUAUAUAUUAGAUUAUAUAUAUAUAAGGAUCUACUCCUAUGAUCCUAAUAGUGCUUGUCUUUCACCUCUAACCAUUCACUACCCACCAUCAUCCAACCUUCAAGCUCUCCAUCCAAUAGUUAAAAACUUAAAAGCCCACCUUCUACGUGCUUUUGGAGUAUUCUAGCUAGCUCAACUAUAUAUAUAUAAUAAUAAUAUAUAUACUAUAUAUAUAUAAUAGUGAGAACUAAAUUAUACGUAUCGAAUAUAAAGAUUGAUUUUUCAAUUUUUGGACCCUUAGAUCAAGAAUGUAUGGUGGAUAUUGCGGUCCGCCCUUAGGGUUGAGUAGUAACCCAGGUUAAGUGGCCCCAUAUGAUACAAUAGUAAUAAUUCAAAAAAUUAAAAUGAUCAAGACAACGUGAUAUCUACUGAGCCAAAAAAGUUCGAAAGCACAGAUCUUCUAAACUCCAACAGCAAGUCAUGUGUGUGUAUAUAUAUUAAUAUAUAUAUAUAUAUAUUAUAUAUAUAUAUAUAUAUAGAUAUAUAUACAUAUACUAAUUAUAUCUCCAACCAAAUACAUCGUCCAGCACCAAGGAUUUGGUGCUAUCGAAUUCCUGCAUUCCUUAAAUUUAAUCCUUGCAUAUUUUUUCCGCCCGUUAAAUUAUACUAUUCAAUCCAAACCACUAACUCCAACANNNNNNNNNNNNNNNNNNNNNNNNNAGUUUGGAGUUUAACGGUGUAGAAGAAUCUAAAUUUCUUCAAAUUUUGAUAGAAAAUACUUUAAACUAUAUAGAUUAAGGUUAACAUUCUUGAUCUUGAAUUUAAAAGUCCUAUACUCAAAUUUUAAAAAUUAUUCAAUUUUCACCGCCCAUUUUGAUAUAAUUUAUUUACUAAGUAAACGAUAUCGAAAAAAACUAAAAUUUUAUUCCUAAGACAUUCAUAUACCCUAGAUCAUAUUUAACGGUGUGGAUCGUUGAUUUGAACGCCCUAUGAUCGAAAACAAACACUAUAGUACCGGAGCUCAGUACUAUAGAUAGUAUAGUAGCCUAAUUCUAACAAACACUAUAGUCCAGCUGCUAUACUAUCGGUAACACGGAGGAUUCCGUGCUACAAAGUUCUUUUCGAUGAUGCGGCUUUCAAAUCGACGAUCGGCUCCGUUAGACAUGAUCUACACUAUUGAACGUAUUUGGAAACUAAAUUUCAGAAUUUUUCGACAUCAUUUGGCUAGUGAUCAAAAGGUCUCAAAAUUGACAAUUUUAAUGGUAGAUGUGAUGCAUUUGUAAAUUUAACGGUGUAAAACAAUCCAAAUCAGAUGAAAUUUUUAUAGAAAAUUUUUUUUACUAUUUAGAGUAAGAUCAGUAUCUCUGAUCUUAAAUUCAAGUCUUCUAUCAUCAUUUUUUAUGAGAUUUUUAUUUUCAGCCGUUUAUUUUUAGACUACUCGUUUGAUAGGUAAAUGAUGCCAAAAAAUUAUAAAAUUUAGUUUCCAAAUACUUUCAAUAGUGUAGAUCAAGUCUAACGGAACCGAUCGUCGAUUUGAAAGUGGUAUCAUUGAAAACAACUUGGUAGCACGGAGGUGUCCGUGCUACCGAUAGUAUAGCAGUCUAACUAAAUUUCAGAAUUUUUCGACAUCAUUUGGCUAGUGAUCAAAAGGUCUCAAAAUUGACAAUUUUAAUGGUAGAUGUGAUGCAUUUGUAAAUUUAACGGUGUAAAACAAUCCAAAUCAGAUGAAAUUUUUAUAGAAAAUUCUUUUCACCAUUUAUAGUAAAAUCAGUAUCUCUGAUCUUAAAUUCAAGUCUUCUAUCAUCAUUUUUUAUGAGAUUUUUAUUUUCAGCCGUUUAUUUUUAGACUACUCGUUUGAUAGGUAAAUGAUGCCAAAAAAUUAUAAAAUUUAGUUUCCAAAUACUUUCAAUAGUGUAGAUCAAGUCUAACGGAACCGAUCGUCGAUUUGAAAGUGGCAUCAUUGAAAACAACUUGGUAGCACGGAGGUGUCCGUGCUACCGAUAGUAUAGCAGUCUAGCUCUAUAUAUAUAUAUAUAUAUAUAUAUAGAGCAGGGCUACUGUGCUAUUAGGAGCACAACACUCCUUGUGCUCCUAACUUUGUAACCGCCCAUCAAGUUUGAUGGACGGUUAGAAUGAGAUAGGGAGGAGAUAUUGAAGAGAAAUUUAAGAAGAAGAGAAAUUGAAACACUCAAUUUCUCCCCAAUAUCUCCUCCCUCUCUUAUUCUAACCGCCCAUCAAACUUGAUGAGUGGUUAGAAAGUUAGGAGCACAAGGGGUGCUGUGCUCCUAAUUGUGAGACCCCAGAUAGUCCUAUAUAUGAGAUAUAAUAGGGCUAAACUCUUAACCCGGCUUAAGCAUUUUGGGUGGUGGCAAGGCCCAAGAGGUUAAGAGAGUUAAGCGUGCUAGGACGGGAGUAGUCCUAAGAUGGGUGACCCCCUGGGAAGUUGGGGCGUCACACUAAUAGUACAGUAGCCCUACUCUAUAUAUAUAUAUAUAUAUAUAUAUAUAUAUAUAUAUAUAUAGUACGUCUCCCGUGCGUUCGAAAGUACGGAGGCCUCCGUGCUUGUAAGUUAUUUUCGAUGAUAGGACAUUUGAUUUGAUGAUCGGCUCCGUUAUGCAUAAUCUAUGCUAUUGGAAUUAUCUAGAAACCAAAUUUUAUAAUUUUUCGACUUCAUUUACCAAACGAUCAGAGGGUCUCAAAAAUGACUAUUUUAACGGCCAAUGUGGCACGUUUUUAAGUUCAACGGUAUAGAAGUAUCCAAAUUACAUGAAACUUUAUUAGAAAAUUCUACUUAACAUCAAGAGCAAGAACAAUACUUCUGAUUUGAAAUUUGAGUCCAUUAUCACUAUUUUUUAUGAGAUUUUUAUUUUCAACCGUUCAUUUUGAGAUUACUUGUUCACUAGGCAAACGAAAUUAAAAAAUUAUGAAAUUUGAUUUCUAAAUGGUUCUAAUAGCGUAGAUCAUAUCUAACGGAACCGAUCACCGAAUUGGACGUCCCAUCAUCGAAAACAACUUACAAGUAUGGAGACCUCCGUACUUUCGAAAGCAUAGGAGCCUAGCUCUAUAUAUAUAUAUAUAUAUAUAUGUAAUAUAUCGAAUUUCGAUUAUAAGCUAAUUGUGAUCAAAUUGAUCACAAUUAUGCUAAAAUAAAAAUUAAGUGUUUCUAAACUUAAUUAGUAGCUUGAGAACAGCAAUUGACAUGUUUUGGAAGUGUGAGAGUAGACACGAAUGGAAUCGAAGUGGCUAAAGACCUCCAAUUGCUAUUGCUACUCUAAAGCUGAAAUUUUUAGUUGAUUUGGUCAAAAUGAUCAAAUUAAUACAAAAUUGAAAAUUAAAUGCUUCAAAAUUAAAUUGAUAAUUUGUAAGGGUUUAUUAGCAUUAUUUGGAAGCAAUUAGACGUGUUCGAAGCGAACUAGACAUGCAAAACGGUCUCAAAUUGAUGCUGCCAAGUUCUUGUUAGUGCAGGGACCAAACUGCGAACCUGCAGGGACUGGAUUGCGAACCUGCAGGGACUGAUCUGUGAACUGUUAGACUGCAAUGCAGUUUUCAAUUUUUGAAGGGCUAAGGUGCAAUUUUUCAACCUUAUCAUCUUACCCCAGUGAAAUUACACCUGUCUGGUACCAGAGUUUCCAUUUCCCUUCUUAUCUUUAUCUCUUCUCCUUUUCUUUUUUUCUCUCUAAGUAAGGAAAAGCUGAGAAGUGAAGUACCAGCUUGGGAAAACCUGGUGGGCUGAAGAAGAAAUUUGAUCCCAGCAAUAAACCUCUGCUGAUUGGAGUUACUACAAGACCUGGAAAGCAUAUAAUCAAGGUAAACUUGAUUAUUAUUUCCUCCUGGCUAGGUUGGUUUCUUGUAAAAGAUAGUUAUAUGGACUUUGGUGUUGGCUGCUUGAGGAACCAGUUCAUGGUGCUGCCGAAAUGCAAAGUGGAUUAAUUGAUGCUGCAAGCAAGUUUAUUCAGCAUCAAAUUAAAAUUGGAGCUGAAAGAGAAUUGAUCCAUAAAAGGAUUCAUUGCUGCUGAAAUUUUAGAUUGCAAAUGGAGAUUUGAGGCUUUUGAGAUAGUAAAAGCUGAAUAGAAUUGAAGAAGUACUAAAUCAAGGUAAGGUAAAUUGUUGAUCAAUUCCUGAUUAAAUUGUUAGGAAUUAUUGUAGAAUGGGUUUAAAGGGAACAAUUGAUGUACUCGUAGAAGUAAAACUAGUUGCUAUAUGCUUGUAGGGGGCUGCACAAGGAGAAGAAGUAGUGCUGAAAUUCUGCACAUAGUGCAGAAUUUCAGCCUUAGAGAUUCCUGCUGUGGAGCUUCUUUGGUAAUUCAAGCUGCAACAAAUUUGGAGCUUGGAAUUUAGGUGAGAUGGAUACUUAUUUCUUGAGUUAAGCGGUCUAGAAUUACUUUAAAGGAGUGUGAACAAAACAAGCCUUUGUUUCAUACUUGUAGUAAGCUGUAAAGGAGAGGGUGUGGUGCUGGAAUUUCAGCACUACGCAAAAUUUCAGCAUGAAACAGAUUUUAGUAAAAGCUGAAAACAAGUCAGGAGGAGCUCUAAAUUGAGGUAAAUAACUUAACCCUUAGCUCAGAAUUAAUUAUAGCUGUAAAGGGAUUAAGCUAGGAUAUGUAGUGGUUAAUAGAAUCAUAAUAAGAAACUGAUUCUCAUGUGCUGAAAUGAGUGCAUCGGAGCAGAUUUCAGCAAAUAAUUCAGCAUAGAGAUUGGUUGNNNNNNNNNNNNNNNNNNNNNNNNNUUCGCCGUGCGGGAUUGGGCGCCGAAGUGGAUUGCCGUGGGCCAGGCUCAUUCCUAGGGUGGGGAUGUUGACUACCACGGGGCCAUUAGGCUCGGCACCGGCCAGACAGCCUUCGGGUGGGUCUCAGGGCCAUAGACAGCCUUCGGGUGGGUCUCUUCAGAUUCGACUUGAGUAUUCAAUAUGACAUGUGGACAGAUGACGACUUAGAGUAUUAUUUGGACAUUGACUAGAAUAGUAAACAACGGAACUUUACUAUUUCGCAUUGUGAACGUUAUGAUAGUUGGAGACUUAUACUUCAUGCAUAGUUGCUUCAUACUUAUGCUAUUUAUGCUAAGUAGAGAUAUCAUGUCGUAGUAAGUUACAUUUUACUUACCUUUCGUUUUUCUACAUUUAUAGUCACUAACAUCUCUUGUAGCCUUGGGCCUUGUGGUGCAUUCACUGAAGUCAGUAAUUGCCCACUGGGAACUAUAUUUAAUAGUUCUCACGCCCUGUUUUAUGGUUUCCUUUUCAGAGCCUUCUGCACCGGCGGAGGCACGGGAUCGCGGCAAGGGGAUCGCUUAGCUAGCUAGCGAGAAGCGGUACUCUGCCUAGGUGGUUUACUCUUCUUUUUGUAGUUGAGAGUGAGUGAGAGUUUCUGUAUCCAUGUAUAGAGACUACCUAUGUAUCUACCUAUAGCACUUGUAUUUGGGAUUUCCUAUUGUAUUUACCUUAUGUCUUAUUUAGUGGAUUUACAGUUUUUCCUUAUCCUUUGUUGUAGCAUUUAGACAUUUAUCAUGCUCUGAUACUUCUAGAUGCCUUUUAACAUUGCUUUUAUUAUUGUUGUUUUUAGACGCCUUAUAUGUUGUAGACAUAUGGCGGGUCUGGGCACGCGCCGGGCGGGCUUCCGCUGGGUCCCGGGGCGUGACAGAGAGAGAGAGAGGGAGAGAGAGAGAGAGUCCGGCUGUGGAACUAUCGAUAGCACCAAGGAUUUGGUGCUAUCAAGUUUUCCACCGUUAGAUUUAACCCUCUAAUUAUUUUUACCCGUUAGAUUAUACUAUUCAACCAACCACUUACUCAACCCUAGGGAACCCACAUCAUCCUAACCACCGAUUUCUCAAUCCAAGGGCUAAAAAAUCAACAGCACCAAUAGGUUGGUGCUACUGAUAGUAUUCUAGCCUAGUUCUAUAUAUAUAUAUAUAUAUAUAUAUAUAUAUAGUCCGGCUAUGGUGCUUGUAAAAGUACCAAGUAUUUGGUGCUUGUAAAUUUUUUACCAUUAGAUCUACUCCUCUGAUUAUUUUUAACCGUUAGAUUAUACUAUUCAACCAACCACUUACUCAACCCUAGGGGGCCCACAUCAUCCUAACCACGCAUUCCUAAAUCCAACGGCUAAAAAUCUACAAGCACCAAUAACUUGGUACUUUUAAAAUCAUAGGAGCUCAAUUAUAUAUAUAUAUAUAUAUAUAUAUAAGGGAUCUACUCCUUGAUUACUAAUAGUGCUUGGAUUUCACCUACCAUCAUCUACCACCAUCAUCCCAACCUCACGUCUCUCCAUCCAAUAGUUAAAAACUUAAAAGCACCACCUUCUAGUGCUUUUGGGAGUAUUCUAGCUAGCUCAACUAUAUAUAUAUAUAUAUAUAUAUAUAUAUAUAUAUAUAUAUAUAUAGUGUAGAACUAUUAUAGUAUCGGAAGUAUAGAGGAUUUGAUUUUUUCAAUUUUUGGACCCUUAGAUCAAGAAUGUAUGGUGGGAUGAUUGCGGUCCGCCUUAGGGUUGAGUAGUAACCCUAGGGUUAAGUGGUCCCCAUAUGAUAAUAGUAUUAAUUCAAAAGUUAGAAAUGAUCAAAGAGCAACGUUGAUCUAUGAGCCAAAAAGUCGAAAGCACCAGAUCUUCUAAACUUCCAACAGCAUAGUAUGUGUGUGUAUAUAUAUAUAUAUAUAUAUAUAUAUAUAUAUAUAUAUAUAUAUAUAGUCCAACUAGAAUACUAUCGAUAGCACCAAGGAUUUGGUGCUAUCGAAUUUUCCACCAUUAAAUUUAAUCCUUUGAUUAUUUUUUCCCGUUAGAUUAUACUAUUCAACCAACCACUAACUCAACCCUAGAGGGCCCACAUCAUCCGAACCACAUAUUUUUCAAUUCAAGGGCUAAAAAAUUAAUAGCACCAAUAGCUUGAUGCUAUUAAUAGUAUUCUCACUACAACAAAAACGGUCUAUAGCGACACUUUUNUCCGCGGCACGACGUCGGCGACAAAAUACUCCACCCGAGCUCCUCCACGAUCGGUCUAGCUAGAGAGAGAGGGAAGCAAGCAAAAUCUCCUCUCAGCUCUCCUCACACCUGUAAAUAAUAAGGGAGUAUGUGGGUGACAUAAACGAGGUGAGAAAAGACCCAAUUGCCCUCUCACCUACCCUGGUGUACCGGUACACGGGCCUACGUACCGGUACAAGAUGCAAACCCGAUAGCAGUCUGCUCGUAGCCUGUGCAGUGUACCGGUACACCCUGCUGGCUGUACUGGUACGGCAAGCAGAGAAACCUGCUAUUUGCAGAUUCUCUUGCUAAAUACUGCUCUCGCGUCGCACAGAGUCCGUUUUGCGUCUAUUCGUGCCAACAAGACUCAGGCUUGUCCCGACACUCUCCAGAACUGUCGACAAGCCUUUACCGCCAAACACCAGGGAUCUCACACUCUUCUCUACUACAAAAAGUUUCGUCCGCGAAACUUAAGUAUACCUCAGCUCUGGGCAUCGAACAGGUAGGGAUAGGACUCCCUCAUCACCGUCUCAAGCUCCCAAGUCGCCUCCCGCUCCUCGUGAUUAUUCCACUGCACCUUCACAUACAGGAUGACUCGGUUGCGCAAUUCUUUCGUCUCUCGAGCAAGAAUCCGCAACGGUCGCUCUCGUAUCUCAGAUCCUCGCCAAUCUCGAGUUUAGUGAAGUCAAUCACGUGAGAAUGAUCGAAAACAUAUCUCCUCAAUGCCGAGAUGUGGAAGACAUCAUGAAUGUCAGCUAUUCGCAGGGGUAGAGCGAUCCUGUAAGCAACUGGUCCCACUCGCUCCAAUACCUCAAAAGGGCCAACGAAACAUGGACUAAGCUUUCCACGUACUCCAAAUCGGCGAAUCCCUCUGGACGGCGAGACUUUGAGGAAUACAUGAUCUCUAAUCUGAAACUCUAAGUCUCGCCUUCUGGUAUCGGCGUAGCUCCUCUGACGGCUCUGGGCUGUCAAAAUGUGUCGUCGAACAACUCUCACCUUUUCCUCAGCCUCUAACAAAAUCUCAGGCCCAAACAUCUUCCUUUCACCUACAUCAUUCCAACACAAAGGGGAUCGACAUCUGCGUUCAUACAAUGCCUCAAACGAAGCCAUCUGGAUGCUCGCUUGAUAACUGUUGUUGUACGCAAACUCAGCUAGUCUCAAAUGUCGAUACCACCCUCCUCCAAAGUUCAGGACGCAUGCUCUCAGUAUGUCCUCUAGAGUCUGAAUUGUCCGCUCUGACUAACCAUCUGUCUGUAGGUGAAACACUGUGCUGAACUGUAACUGUGUACCCAAGGCUGUCUGCAAACUCCUCCAGAAGUGUGACACAAACCUCGGAUCCCUAUCAGAUACGAUUAAAAUCGGCACGCCAUGCAGCCUAAAAAUCUCAUCCGGAUAUAGCUCCGCGACUGGACAAGGUGGUCUGAACCAGUAAGAAGUGAGCAGACUUGGUCAGUCUGUCCACUAUCACCCAAAUCACAUCGUAGCCACCCUACGCUCUAGGUAAUCCCACGACGAAGUCUAUCGUGAUCUGCUCCCAUUUCCACUCGGGCACUGGCAGACUCUAAAGCUUGCCAGUAGGUACCUGAUGCUCGGCCUUUAUCUGUUGACAAGUCAGACACUGAGCCAUAAAUCUGCCAAUGUCCCUCUUCAUUCCAGUCCACCAAAACUGUGCCUUCAAGUCCUUAUACACCUUGGUUCCACCAGGGUGAACCAUAUAAGGAGAACAAUGAGCCUCUUUCAGAAUGUCCUCUCGGAUCCCUGAAUCCGCAGGCACACACAGUCGGUCCAUGUACCGCAGCACUCCCGAACUGUCCACAGAAAAGCCCUCAGCCUGUUCCCGGUCUAGCUGCUCUCGAAUCAUCGACAAGUACGGAUCUCCACUCUGUUUAUCUCGGAUCCUAUCCAACAGAGUGGGCUGCAAGACCAAAGACAUCAGUCUCGCUAUAGAUCCAGGGAACACUAUCUCGAGCCUCAACCGCUGUAGCUCCUCGAGUAACGGCCUCUGCUCUGUGAUCAUCAAACUCAGGCUCUGCACUGCCUUCCUACUCAACGCAUCUGCCACCACGUUCGCCUUGCCGGGAUGANUAUAUAUAGAGAGAGAGAGAGAGAGAGAGUAGGUCUUGUGUGCUAUUUGGAGCACGGAGGCCUCUGUGCUCCUAACCCGUUUUCGAUGAUGGAGCUUCCGAAGCGAUGAUCGGCUCCGUUAGAUUUAAUCUAGCGUAUUUGAAUUAUCUAGAAAAUAAUUUUUGUGAUUUUUCAGUAUCAUUUUCCUAGUGAUCGAAAGGGUUUAAAAUCAACAAUUUUUAAUGGUUGAUGUAUACCGUUUGCAAGUUUAACUAUGCAGAAGUGUUCAAAUCAGAGGAAAUUUUGAUAGAAAAUUUUUUUAUACUAUUUACAGCAAGAUCAAUAUGUUUGAUCGAAAAUUUUCAUGCUAUAUCACCACUUUUUGUAAGAUUUUUAUUUUCAGCCGUUGAUUUUGAACCCUUUCGAUCGUUAGGUAAAUGAUAUUGAAAAGUUACAAAAUUUAUCUUCUAGAUACUUCAAAUAUGCUAGAUCAAGUCUAACAGAGCCGAUCGUCGAUUCGGAAGCUCCAUUAUCGAAAACGGCUUAGGAGCACGGAGGCCUCUAUGCUCCAAAUAGCAUACAAGACCUUCUCUCUCUCUCUCUCUCUCUCUCUCUCUCUCUCUCUAUAUAUAUAUAUAUAUAUAUAUAUAUAUAUAUAUAUGCUAGGGCUACUAUCCUCUUAAGAGGAUAGUAGCACUUUUCCUAUCAAGUUGUUCUUGAUGAUAAAGAUUUCGAAUCGAUGAUCGGAGCGUUGAAGUUGAUCUAGAGUAUUUGAAAUAUCUAGAAACUAAAUUUCAUAAAUUUUAAAAAUUAUUACAUGGUGAUCAAAGUGUCGUAAAAUCGACAAUUUUUGACGGCCUAUAUGAGCCGUUUGCUUGUUUAACGGUACAGAGCAAUCCAAAUUGUUUGAAUUUUUUAUAGAAAAUUUUUUAUACUAUUUAGAUAAUGUUUGAUAACUCUGAUUAUGAAUUGAGAAAGUCUAACCUAUAUUUUAAGGAGGUUAUUCAUUUAUAAUCGUUCAUUUUUCAAACUCUUCGAUAAACUUGAUAACGAUUUUUAAAUAUUACAAAAUUUGGUUUCUAAACAUUUUUAAUUGUGUAGAUCAAUUUCAAUGGUACCGAUUAUGAAUUUGAAGCUCCGAUCAUUCAAAACGACUUGAUAGGACAAAAUCCUCAAUCCUAUUAAUAGGAUAGUAGAUGGAAUAUAUAUAUAUAUAUAGAGUCCGGCUACUAUACUAUCGAUAGUAUCAAGCCCUUGGUACUAUUGAGUUUUUUACCGUUAGAUCAACCCUUUGAUCAUUUCCACCCAUUAGAUUAUACUAUUAAACCAACCACCCACUCAACCCUAGGGGACAACUAUCAAUUUAUCCGGGGACCACUAUCAUCCUAACCGCACAUCCUUUCAUCCAGCGACCGAAAACUCAAUAGUACCAAGGGCUUGGUACUAUUGAUAGUAUAGUAGCAUAAUUCUAUAUAUAUAUAUAUAUAUAUAGAGAGAGAGAGAGAGAGAAGAGAGAGAGAGCUAGACUGGUAUACUAUCGGUAGCAUGGAACCCUCCAUGCUACCAAGUUGAUUUUAAAGAUGCGGCUUCCAAAUUGACGAUCUGCUCUGUUAGGCUUGGUCUACACUAUUAAAAGUAUUUAAAAACUAAAUUUUAUAAUUUUUUGACAUCAUUUACUACCCCCAAUCAUCUCUCCUCCCUCACCCUUGUGCGCCGCGCGCCUCCCAGCUGCCGCCGAUCUAGCCCUAGCUGACGAGCCGUCGUCACUGCCACCUUUUCCUUCCUCUCCAUCUCCUCUACCACCUUUCUUCCUGUUCAUCUUGGCCGAGGGUGGUGCAGGGCGCUCCUCUCCCUCCAGCCUCCCUCCGGCGACACCUCCGGAGCCCCGGCGACCCUCCCCACCGACUGCCGCCGUCCCCAAGCGCCGCCGCCGUGGCAGCAGCAGCCCUGCGACCUUCCUAGGAAGAUUUGGGCCGAGGUGCUAUUGCACCCCUUCCCCCGCACUGCCACCGCCCGAGGCAACCCCCGCAACCCCCUCCGACCUCAAGCGAUCCAUCGCCAACCGCCCCUAGGCGCCCCAACCCGCGCCAUGGCCGGAGAAGCCGCCUGACCCGAGGCUUGCUUAGUGCCUGCUCGGGUUACUCCAGUGCCGCCACCGCCGCCACCUCUUGCCGCCGGCCAACGCGAGCCCGGGCCUCCCCCCCGUCGACCACACCCACUUGCCACCGGCGCACCCACCGCCGGGCUGCCACCGGCUGUGCACUGGCCUCAUUGUUCCGGUAAGCUUAAUUAGGCUAUUCUUUUGAGCAUUUCGGGUUGUUUGCACUAUUUCGGCGAUCCGAGACCGUCCCGAUGCCUCCUGAGAUAAGCACGGUGAUCGUUGGUCAGCGCUGAUCACAGUGCUCACCUCACUUAUGAUAAGCGAAUUUCGAAUCUGUGUUUCGGCGCGGUCUACCCCGAGUGAGAGCAGUUCACUGAAUUUUAGGUCGCUCCCGCAACUUUGACAGUGAGCCGCUGUGUGGGAGGUGACCUCUGGACUGAUCGUCCAAGGUUCGAAGCCCUUGCGGAAAAUCGAAUAUCGAUUUCGGUGCAUUUUCGGCGAAAUUCGCCGGCGGAACGCGGUAUCGGUUCGGAUUUCAUCCGAUGGUGUUUGAUUGCCCUGAGUUUUGUCGUUGAGCCUUGUCGGUUGGUCACCAUUGUUAUAUCGUGAGUUCGGAGAUAACGGGUGAGCGACGGUGGGUUCUGGUGUCAAAAUUAACACUUUUGAGAACUCGGAUCCAAACGAUUAUCCGGCGAUAAUCGUUUUGAUGUGUGACCUUGUGUUUGCUGCCAAGACAUCCAAAAUGAUGUGUUUUGUGACAACGGGUGACUCGUGGCACAAGUCGGUGAGUUUCGGGACACUUAGUGGGUCCCAGCGAUGUCCCGGUGUGAUUGUCGGGACUUUCUGCAAGUUACGGUGAUCGAUUUUACCAAAUCCGAGGUUUUGUGUGGGAUUCGUGAUUUGUGUAUGUUAGAUUAGUAGGUUAGACACUGACCCAGUGGACCCUCUGUAGGUUCGGUUGACGAUCGUAUACAGUUUGGAGACAGGCGCGACACUGAUAUAGGUGGGUGCUUUGAGCUGGUAAUCGGUGAGAUCAUUUCACUUUCCUCUUCCUUGUCAUUACACUUGCAUAUCAGUACUUUAGUCUCUACAUGUCAGUUGCCUUUAUUUAUCAUUUGUUCAUCUAUAUCUUGAUAGUUGCAUGAUAACAGUUGUUAGUAGACAUGUAGAGCAGGCUUGCAUACAUUGUAUAUAUGUGGACCUCGGGUCUAGGCAACACGUUGACUCCUUUGUCGUGUAUUUCGAUCUGGUUUAUCCACUUGGAAACCUUGUUGUGGUUUCUCACCCCCCAUUUCCCCAGGUAGCACGGGUAAGGAGUUGAUUCUUGGCGUGAUGGGAAUACGUCGUAGCUAGGCUGCAGUAGCGGUCGUCACCCUAGUUAUUUUUCUUUCCGCAUUUAACAGUUUAAAUAAUAAAAUGGUUCAGUUAGAUGAUCAUUGUUAUUGCGUGAACAAUCGUGAACUUGUCACACCCCGGAUUACUCGUUCCCCGGGCACGCCGACAAAUUCGCCAUAUACAAAGGAAUUUUUCCUAUAUACGAAGCGAUAGCUGUACCUGUAAAUCAUACAAUACUACAAACAGUAGUAUAGAGCUGCUAGAAGAAUCAAUAAUAAAACAAACCGAGUUCCAUAUACAUACGCCAAAACCAAGAAACAAAACUACUCGCACUGGCGAGUUAAAUAUAUGUAUGUACAUGAACUCCAACCAAAAACAACUACCUGCUGUAGGGGCACCUCUAGCUCGGCUCAAAGACUACCGCGGCAAGCUCCAAGUCAUGCAUAGGAUAAUUCUUCUCAUAAUUCUUUAACUGCCGUGAAGCAUAGGCAAUUACCCUACCAUGCUGCAUUAGCACACUACCCAGUCCACUGUGCGAUGCAUCACUGUAGAUCACAAAUCCUUCCCCCAUCACAGGAAGGGCAAGGAUAGGAGCUGACAUCAACCUCUGUCUCAACUCAUCAAAGCUCCUCUGACAAUCCUCACUCCAGAUGAAUCUAAUCCCCUUUCGCGUCAAUCGAGUGAGGGGUGUGGAAAACUUCGCAAAGCCUUCUACAAACCGACGGUAAUAUCCUGCUAUUCCAAGAAAACUCCUCACCUCUGUCACCGUCGUCGGUCUGGGCCAACCCCGAAUCGCAUCAAUCUUCUUCGGGUCAACUACUACUCCUUCUGCUGAUAUCACGUGGCUCAAGAAAGCAACCUCCCGUAACCAGAACUCGCACUUCUUUAACUUGGCAUACAACUUCUUCUCUCUCAGAAGCUGUAGCACAGUCCUCAAGUGCCCCUCGUGCUCGACAUCGCUUCGGGAGUAUAUCAAGAUAUCAUCUAUGAAGACUACCACAAACCUAUCCAAGAACGGCUUGAACACUCUGUUCAUCAAAUCCAUAAAUGAUGCAGGGGCAUUCGUCAGUCCAAAAGGCAUCACUGUAAACUCAUAAUGCCCGUACCGAGUCCGAAAAGCGUCUUGGGAACAUUCUCGGCCCUCACCCUCAGCUGGUGGUAACCGGACUGGAGAUCAAUCUUCGAGAAGACACAAGAUCCUUAUAGCUGAUCAAACAGGUCAUCAAUGCGCGGCAAAAGAUACUUGUUCUUGAUGGUCACCUUAUUCAGCUCUCGGUAAUCCACGCACAACCUGAGCGAACCAUCCUUCUUCUUUACAAAUAACACCGACGGUUCCUAAGGUGAUAUACUGAAUCUAACAUACCCCUUAUCCAUCAAAUCCUCAAGCUGCGCCUUUAGUUCUCUUAGCUCAGCCGGUGCCAUCCGAUAGGGUAUCUUUGAGAUUGGUGCAGUUCCAGACACUACAUCAAUCACAAACUCAAUCUCUCUCUCCGGCGGCAUCGUCGUCAACUCAGGGAGAAAUACAUCUGAAAACUCACGGACUACAGAAAUAUCCUCGAGUCCCGGCGCCGACGUAGGUACCUCAACAAUAGUCGCCAGAAAGGCAACACAUCCUCUACUCAUCAGCUGUCGAGCCCUCGCCGAAGAUAUCCAAGUCGCAAACAGUGUACUCCUGCAGCCUCUAAAAGUAAACUCCUCCUGUCCUGGCUCAUGGAACGUCACUGUCCUCGCCCCACAAUCGAUCGUAGCAUAGUAGCGCGCCAGCCAAUCCAUACCGAGUACAACGUCGAAGUCCUGCAGCUGCCCUAACACCAACAGGUCUGCGGGCAUGCUCCACGAGUCUAACUGCACCGGACACGACCAACUACACUCUGCAACCUGGAAAACAUGGUCCGGGAUCUGCACCUCUCGUGCCUGUGACAAUACUCCUAACUCUAGACCAUAAAACAAUGCAAAUGCUCGGCUAACAAAAAAAUGCGAGGCACCAGUAUCAAAAAGAGUACGAGCUCUAAUACCAGAAAUGAAAAUGAUACCUGCCACCACUCGGUCAGCUGCUGAAGAGUCCUCCACCUGGGCUGCAUAGACCCUGCCGCUCGGAGCCUGCUGUCGCCACUUGUCCUGACGCUGCAUAAACGAUUUGUCCUCCUGGCGGAAGCUCGAAGCUGCUCCAAAAGACGACUGAGAUACCGGCUGCGCUGAUGCAGUGGAUGGCGCAGGUGAUGCUGCACGGGGACAAGCUGACCUCAUAUGUCCGGCUGACCGCAACCAUAACACCUGCCCUCUCUUUGCUCGCACUGCCGGGGCCAGUGUGAUCCCCCGCAGAUCACACACUGCGGUGUCCUCUGAGUCUGUCCCUGCUGACGGAAUCCCCUGGGACACUAACGCCCCGAAGGCCCACGACCUUGAGAACGUGAUCGUGGAGGCCUCGGCGGACGCCUGCUGCUCGGCUGUCCAGCAUCAUCUGAAAAGAGGCGCUUCCUAUCCUGACUCUGCCCCACGGCCUGAGUCCUCUCCUGUAGUGACACCUCACCUCUCUCUACCUACAAGGCCUGCUCUAUGGACGCAUCCAGAGUUCUCGACCUCUGCGUCCACGCCAACCUGAAUAUGUCGCGUCUCAGCCCCUGCUCAAACAGAUAGACCCUGUGUGCCUCGUUCCUAGCCACAAAUGGCACACAGUUCAGGAGUCGAGUAAACUCUCGAAUGUACUCCUGUACUAGACGAUCCUCCUGCUGAAUCCUCUUUAAAUCCUCCUCGAGCUUCUAUUUCACACUGUUGGAAAAAAAACAUCCCAAACAGCAUGCCAUAAAACUCAUCCCAUCUGAGCUGCAACGCUACCAGUCCCUGUUCUCUCCUCACUCUCCUCCACCAGGCGUGGGCAUCACCUGCCAAGCAAUGGACUCCCAAAGACACCUGCUCUCCAUCAGGAAUGAACAGAUCAUCAAAUAACUUCUCCAUCGCACUGACCCAUCUCUCAACAAUCCAGGCCUCAGUGCAACUGCCAUCGAAAAUCGGUGGAUUAAAAUGGCGAAAUCAAGCCAACCUUUCCGUCCACCGCUCCUGCUCGGCCUCUGUCAACUGUACUAGCCCCCUAGCAGGCGCAACUGGCGCUACUGGAACUGCUGCUGGCGGAGGGACUGCUGUAGCUGGAGCUGUCACUGGGGCAGUCGGAGGUGGAACAAACGACUCUGGUGCCCUCGGUGCUGAACUCUGGGCCGAAGCUAGCCUCUCGCACAUCCUCUCCAACAACUCCCCCUGCAGCCUCGUCACCUCUGUCAGGGCGGCUAACUAUGCACUCAAGUCUGGGGAUGCACUCGCCUCUGGUCGAACACUCUGCUCCUGCCGGGCACUCGGCUCUGCAUGCUCAGGCAUCUCGGAAGGUCCCGCACGAUCUUGCGACAACUAGGCAUGCUUUCGCAACGACGGUCGACCUCGGCGACGAUACAUAGCUGAAAGGAACAGAUCGGGGUCAGAUGAAGUACAAACAAUCUCGACCCAAUCAUCGAAAGUCUGGAAGGCAGCUCCUGCUUUCCUCCAAAAUUAUGUUGUCUGUAGCCAACAUAAUUUCUCAAACCAAAAUAGGCACUCCUUCAAUCACUCACUCCACUCUAGGAGGAGUUAGAAUAAUUAAUCAUUAACUUUCGCAAUAAAUUACGCCUCUCGCGUCUUGCCUUCCUAAGGCUUGCCAACUUAGGUUUCCCAGGUCCCCACGACCUAAUGCUAAGCUCUGAUACCAACUUAAUCUGUCACGCCCCGGAUUACUCGUUUCCCGGGCACGCCGACAAAUUCGCCGUAUACAAAGGAAUUUUUCCUGUAUAGGAAGUGAUAGAUGUACCUGUAAAUCAUACAAUACUACAAAUACUAGUAUAGAGCUGCUAGAAGAAUCGGUAAUAAAACAAACCGAGUUCCAUAUACAUACGCCAAAACCAAGAAACAAAAUUACUCGCAUUGCCGAGUUAAAUAUAUGUAUGUACAUGAACUCCAACCAAAAACAACUACCUGCUGUAGGGGCACCUCUAGCUCGGCUCGUCGGGUAGGGCUCUAACUUGCGACGCCCUUGCCUCGAUCCUGAUCGGCAACAGCAGCAGCCGAAGACAAUGGCUCUGCAAAAACGGGGUAACAACAGGGCGUGAGAACCACUGUAAAAACAAGUAGUCCUCAGUGGGUGCCGCCCUCAACAUCAUCGGUCCACCCACUAAGUCUACAGAAGGGAGCAAAGAUAGUAAUAAAUGCUGGAAUAAAAUCUACAGCUACCAUUCAUUACACUAUUAUGCUCUAAGCUGACCUACUGUAGUAAUGUCAAUCCUGACCCAUUCUCUUUAGGGACUGUAAACAUACCCGUCCUAGGGAGUGUGAACACACCCGGCCCGCCCAGUUGAGACUAUCCAGCUACCUCCACACUAUCAGUCCGUGGAGAGCAAGUCUAGCCGGCAUGAACGACACCAACGCGAAAGCACAACACCAGUCUCCGGAGUGGCACUCGUGGGAGCUGCCCAACCGAGUAUGCAACGUAUCUUUGUCCAGCUCAAUCAGGCUCUCUCCAGCCAAAGUCCAAGUAACCGACACUAACUGGUCUAACAACCCACAGUCACGGGCCCUCAGCACAAUCCGACGCCAAAAAGGCGAUAUGGGUCCACCGUCCACCCUUACGGCACCCAACAAUCCGGAACCCCUGAACGCUACUGUAAAAAAAUAUACUCGGCAUCCCAGCACGAGCGUAACUAAAAUCUAAACUACCUGGGGUAUCCGCCGCCUCGAUACUGCGACGAUACAAAAUUACAACGGCUCCUAGAGCUAAAUAAGGUAGUGUAAACAGGUGACAGGUCCAAAUCGCUGGUUUUCUCCUAAUUAAAUUUUCAAAUCCAACAUGUAUAGUUUAACUAAAAUUCCACACAUGCUUCAAAUUCAGAUUUCAGUCAAUAUGCUACUCAAUGAAUUUAAGCCAGUACGAAGUAUAAACAAUCGAAAACUAUACAUGUUUACUAAUAUUCACUUAGGAGUAAACCCGAUAAAACCCACCUCAAAGGCUAAUCCCUGGCAGUGAAAAAGGUCACCGGAGUCCCUGCCAAGCUCGGUGCAACCCAACGAACCAGCGACAACAACACUCCACGGAUCUAGACAUAGAAACCAGAAUAAAUACCAAUUCUGCUCAAAACAACAGCAGCAAAGUGGAACAGGGUUUCGACCAAGCUAACCUUCACCAAAAUUGACGAUCUUGGGCUUUGUGGAUUCCUCUCGAAGUCCUGAAUCCAACAACCAAGUCUCGCUGCAAUCCGACGCUCCUACGUCGCACACGAGCCGAAACGUCAACGGUCGACGCAGGAAAUCUGCGAAACAACAUCCUUGAGCUCGGAAGUGAUAAAAACUUGCCAAGGUUGGAGGUAUUGAUGAACAUCUCACCUCAACAGCGACUCUAGCACCGGCGCGACGUCGAGAACAGCGAAAACGCACUCUGUCCGGCCUCCUCGCGAUGCUACCGGCAACAAGCGCGCGCUCAAAUGGCUCCGCGGCACGACGUCGGCGACGAAAUACUCCACCCGAGCUCCUCCACGAUCGGUCUAGCUAGAGGGAGAGAGGGAAGCAAGCAAAAUCUACUCUCAGCUCUCCCUCACACCUGUAAAUAGUAAGGGAGUAUGUGGGUGACAUAAACGAGAUGAGAAAAGACCCAAUUGCCCUCUCACCUACCCUAGUGUACCGGUACACGGGCCCACGUACCGGUACAAGAAGCAAACUCGAGAGCAAUCUGCGCGCAGCCUGUGCAGUGUACCGGUACACCCUGCUGGCUGUACCGGUACGGCAAGCAGAGAAACAUGCUAUUUGCAUAUUCUCUUGCUAAAUGCUGCUCCCGCGUCGCACAAAGUUCGUUUUGCGUCUAUUUCGCGCCAACAAGACUCAGGCUUGUCCCGACACUCUCCAGAACUGUCGACAAGUCUUUACCGCCAAACACCAGGGAUCUCACAGAACUUGUAUGAGUUGAUGCUUUCUAUUAUGCAUGCAACGGAGUUUUAUGAAUCUUCAGUAUUUGAAUUUAUAUAUUCAUGCGUUGUGAUUUUUUAUCCCUCUAGAUAGUCGAUUUUCGAAAAUGGAGUUUCUGAGUGGGAAACAGUUUUAAAAGAUUUUCGAAUAAUUUUCAUGGAUGAACAAAUAGAGUUUAAAAAUAAAGCUUCCGUAUAUGGAGUACUUUUAAAUAGCAUGAUUGUUGUAAUGUGCAUCGCAUUAUCCAGCGCCUAAAGAGUGUUUAGAGGAUAUAUCAUCUUUAAGGAUCGCUAGCUGUAUGCAAUUGCAUCGCAUCAAUUGUUUGUGAAUUAGUGAAUAUAGGUUGUGAGUUGUGAUCCUAUUAUUGUUAUCGUUGGGUACGUUGGGUAUGCCGUGCAAAUAUAAAGGAGACUCUGUCCAUGUGAGCAGAGAAACAUUGUGCUUGUGGCAGAUCUGUACGCCACAAGGGCUAAGUUGAAUUCAAAAAAAAAAUGGCACGUUUUCCGCAAUUCUGAUUUCUAAAAUAGUAUCUAUUACAAAAAGGCUUUAAAAAUCCGCCCGGGGCGUGACAAUCCAUCAAUUGAUUCGAGUUUGAAGUGUUCAAUACUCUUAGCUCUCUACUAUUUCUGUAAGCUUCGUGAAAUUUAUAGUUGGGAUACUAUAUUUUUAUGAGUAUAAAGCAUUUUAUCCUCAUAAGCCUUUUUGAUAGUGAUGCUUCCAAAUUGAUGAUCAUAUCAUUAAAUAUAAUUUAAAGCAUUUAAAAUUUUUUAAAAAUAAAUUUCAUAAUUUUUAAAAUUAUAUUAAAGUCCAUCAAGCGGGUAUAAAAUGAACAAUCAAAAUUAAACGAUCUUCAAAAAAUAGAUGAUAGGAUUCUUUAAUUUAAGGUCAAAGUUAUUGAUUUAUAUCUAGAUAAUAAAUAGAAUUUUCUAUCAAAAGUUCAACCAAUUUUAGGGCAUGUUUGGCCUAACUUCUGGAAAAGUGUUUUCUGCAUAAGUGAGUUUAGUUUAAAGAAUUGAUUUUGGUGAAAAGCUGUAAAGCGUUUGGCUGAGUUUAGGCAAAAGUUAUUUUUCUGAAGUGAUUUUUUACAAUUGUUUGCUAAAAAAAUUUUAAUGAUUAUAUAUAUUAAUAUUUUUACUAAUUUCUUUUUAAAAUAAUUUAAAAUUAAAAUUAAAAUUUGAAUUAAAAUUAAAAUUUUAAAUUUGAAUUAAAAGUAUAAUUUUUAAUUUUCAAAUUUGUAUAAAAAAUAAAUUUGAAAUUUCAAAAUUUUAAAAUUUUAAAUUAGAAAUUUUUAAAUGUAAAUUUAAAUUUUUAAUUUUUGAAUAUGAAUUUAUAUUUUAAAUUUCAAAUUUAAAAUCUAAAUUUAAAUUUUCAAUUAAAUUUAAUAUUUGAAAUUGGUCAAAUUCAAAUUUUAAAAUUUAAAAUUUAAUUAUAAUUCAGAUUUUUAAUUAAAUUUUAAUUUUAAAUUUAAAUUUUAAAUUUUAAUUUGAAAUUUUGAAUUUUGAUUUUAAAUUUUGAAUUUUGAAUUUUGAAUUUGAUUUUGAAUUUUAAAUUUUAAACUUUUAUAAUUUUAAUUUUAAUUUUGAAUUUUUGAAUUUUAAUUUUAAACAUUUUAAUUUAAAUUUAAAUUUUUAAUUUUAAUUUUUAUUUUUAUUUUCUUAUUUUUAAUUUUCAAAUGUAUUUAAACAUUUAAAUUUUAAAUUUUAAAUUUUAAAUUUUAAAUUUAAAUUUUGUAAUUUGAAAAUUAAAACUUGUAAUUUUAAAAUUUAAAAUUUGAAAUUAAAUCUAAAAUAAAAAUAAAAAUUUUAAGUUUGAAUCCAAAAUUAGAAUCAGUUUUGGAGAAGUAGAUUUUGUCUGCUUUUGCUUCUGGGGCCUUCAAAAUCAGUUUUCUGAUUUUAAAAAAAAAAAUCAGAUUUUUCAUAUGUCGUUUCCAAACGCUCUACUAAACUCAAAAUUGAUUUUGGGUUUAGAAUCAUUUUUGAGAAGCUAGGCCAAACACUCUCUUAAUUUUUGUUAUAUUAGCAAGUAUUUCAUAUCGACCGUUAUAAAUUAUCAAUUUUAAAAUAUUUUAAUCGUAAGAUACAAAAUGUUAAAAAAUUAUAAAAUUCAAUUUUAAAAAUUUUAAAUACUCUUAUUCAUAUUUAACGUUAUGGAUUAUCGGCUCGAAAGCUCUAUUAUCGAAAUACAAAGGUAAAUGGAUAUCUAUUCUUUCUACAUUAAAGGAGGGUUUGGAGGGACCAAAAGGUGACAAGUGUCCCAACCCCGAACCCUCCUUUACUCUCCCUCUCGCUCUAUAUAUACUAGUGAAGGCACCCGCGCGUUGCAGCGGGUAGAUUCUGUAUAAAUAAAUAAAUAAAUAAAACUGUAGAAAAAAAUUUAGAUAUUAAACUCCAUUCCAUGCCUAAAUUUUCAUGAAUAGUAUAAAAAAGAAUGAGUUGUCACUAUAUCGGAAAUAGAGAUAUUUUAGUUAUAUUUUUAGUUUAGCAAUGAUGUAUAUAGUGUAGGAAUUCACGCGAUGCGGUGGGUAAAAAUUAAAAACUUAUAGAGUUCUUACAUUUUUUCGAGAAAGGAGUGAUCGAGGUUAGGAGUGGGGGUCGUAUAAAAAUUUGAAAUUAUUGUAAAUGGGCGCGACCACACAUCCUCCUUGAACGCGGCGCCCCUGUCCGCGGUCUUGAGCGCCGCGCACACCUCGUCAAGGGCCUCGCGGAUCAUCCGCUCGAACCGCGCGCCCACGAACGUGGCGAUAGCGAGGUCCGCCAUGUGGAGGAAGGUCUCCGGCCGCUCCUCCUCCGGGGUCUCCUUCUAGAUGGCCACCGCCGCCUGGACGAUGGCGGGGCCGGCGGAGAGGAGGCGCCGCCGAUCGGAGGGGCGGCAGCGAGGGAGGGUGCGGAGGAAGAGGAAAGGUUGGGGUUUUAGGGUUUGGGAAGGAGAGCAGAAGAGCUCGACAGAGAGAUCACGGAUGUGGGGUUUGGGGUUUAUCAAGCUUUGAGAAGCUAUAUGUCACGCCCCGGGGCCGAUUUUAAAAGCCUUUUAAAAACCGAGUUGCGGAAAACGUGCCAUUUUUUUUUUUUUUUUCAACCUGGCCCACGCGACGUACAGACCCGCCACAAAUACAAAGUUCCUCUGUCCACUCGGGCAGAGUCUCCUUUGUAUUUGCACGGCGUACCAACGAUACAACAGGAUCACAACCACAACCUACAUUUACCAAUCAACAACCCAAGCAUGAUAUGCAUUUUCAUACAGCUAACAAUUCUUAGAAUGAUGCAUGCCUCUAAGCACUCCUUAGGCGCUGGAUGAUGCAAUGCACAGUACAACAAUCAUCCUAUUUAAAAGUGCUCCCCACACGGAAGCUUUUGUUUUUAAACUCUAUUUCAUUCAUUCAUAAAAACCAUUCGAAAACAUUNAUUAUUUUUAUAUAAUUUUUAUUUAAUUAAUAAUUAGACUUAUAAAACUAUAUAAAAAUAUUAAAAAAAAUAAAAUUUAUUAUAAAAAUAUUUUUAUAACCGUAGUAUCGCGCAGGUAUUUCAGUAGUCUACCAUAAUACGAUGGUAAGCGGACAUCUACCAUCGAACGAAGAAGACGUUCAUGAGAGAGAGAGAGAGAGAGAGAGAGAGAGAAAAUAGCUACAUUUAGGAUAGGUCAAAUUGCCCCUAAUAAAUGUUUAGGGGCAAUUUGGUCAUUAUGAAAAAUAUAACUUAUCGGCUUGAAGACCGCUUCGUAUUGGGGCCCAUUGGGGCCCAUUUUUCGCUAGUCAGCAAAAUAAAAUUUGGACAACAGUAAUUAAAUAGACAAAUAAUUCUCUAUAUUUUACUAGUGGAUUUGACUCAUCAUGACAUAUAGAAUGUGAUAUGAUAUAUGAACACAUAAAUUAUAUUUUUAUCAUACUUUUUUGUCGCAUUUAUAAAGUAAUUUGUCUGUAAUGCGUAAAGUAGUCCAUACUGCAAAAGCUUUCGGGUUAGAGAUUUUAUGAUUAAAAUUUUAGCUGCAAUUUACGGCUUCUUUUAUAUGGCACAAUAAAAUACCAGACACGGGCGGUGUCGAAAAAUACACUGUUCGACAGAGUAAAGACUUGGCAAAAUGAGGAUGGCACUAAGGGUGCGUUUGGUUCGCGCUAUUUUUUUAAGAUUUUUAGUAAUAUAAUGGGAAUAAGAAAAUAUGACGGUGUUUGGUUAAAGGCACUAAGUAAUCUAGUUGGUAAUAUUAGAUUCACUUGGGAAUGAGAUUCAUCCUAAUGUACUAAUCUCAUUCCCUUGCGGGAGAGUGGUAUCCUCGUAUUAAGGAAUUGGGUAAUUAUAAUAUGUCUAAUCUCUUUCUUUCUCCUUACCCGCAGACUAGUUAGUAUUAUUAUCUUUUACACUCUAACAUCAUAUCUCUCUCUAAACUUAUCUUUUUCUCUCUAAACUUCAACUCUUUUUCUCUCUCUAAACUAAGCUCUCUCUUUCCCUCUUUUCUUAAAAUUUCAACUCUCACACUCCCUCUAAUCUCGACUCUAUUUCUCUUCCUAUUAUUUAAUUAUGCUCUCUCUCUCUAACCUAUAUUUUCUCUCUAUUUUUUCUAAAAAAAUGUUGAAAUUUUUUGUAGCAUUAUCUAAAAUUUAUUAAAAAAAAUUAAUUAAUUAAUUGUAUAUUUUUUGUAAACUUAAAUAACAUGACUAAAUAAUAUGACCGUGCGAACCAAACACAUGAAUGCCACAUUCUUAGUAAUAGGAUGAAUAGCAAUAAGAUUCUCGGAUAUUUUUUUACUCAUAGUAAUCUUUCAUAAUACGAACCAAACAUGCCCUAAGGGUGCAUUUGGUUCGCACUAUCUUUUUAAGAUUCCUAGUAAUGCAAUGGGAAUAAAAAAAUAUGACGGUGUUUGGCUAAAGGCGCUAAGUAAUCUAGUUGGUAAUAUUAGAUUCACUUGGGAAUGAGAUUCAUCCCAAUGUACUAAUCUCAUUCCCUUGCGGGAGAGUGGGCAUCCUCAUAUUAAUGAAUUGGGUAAUCAUAAUAUGUCUAAUCUUUUUCUUUCUCCCUACCCGCAGGCUAGUUAGUAUUAUUAUCUUUUACACUCUAACAUCAUAUCUCUUUCUAAACUUAUCUUUUUCUCUCUAAACUUCAACUCUUUUUCUCUCUCUAAACUAAGCUCUCUCUUUCCCUCUUUUUCUAAAAUUUCAACUCUCACGCUCCCUCUAAUCUCGACUCUAUUUCUCUUCCUAUUAUUUAAUUAUGCUCUCUCUCUCUAACCUAUAUUUUCUCUCCAUUUUUUCUAAAAAGAUGUUGAAAUUUUGGUAGCAUUAUCUAAAAUUUAUUAAAAAAAAAAUAAAUUAAUUAAUUGUAUAUUUUUUGUAAACUUAAAUAACAUGACUAAAUAAUAUGACCGUGCGAACCAAUCACAUGAAUGCCACAUUCUUAGUAAUAGGAUAAAUAGAAAUAAGAUUCUCGAAUAUCUUUUUACUCCUAGUAAUCUUUCAUAGUGCGAACCAAACGUGCCCUAAAGUUUAAAAGACUAUUAUUUGUCAAUAUUAUAGCAGGAUUUGUUAUAUGAUUUUCUACCAAAGCAAUAUAUUUAUGUGUAAUCUACUAUGCUCCCAAAGUGGUGUGGAUGAUUUUCACUUUUUUACAUUUUCAUCGAAAAUGGUAGAGUUUGAAUGAUAAUGAUUUUUUAAAAAAUUUAGUGGUUUUUAUGAAAAAUAAUAUUAAUUUAAAAAUUAACAAUGAUCAAAAUGGUUGAUCUAAAUAUUAAAAAAUUAAAAACACUGCAUGAAUGAUGUUUUCGAAAAUACUAUAGCCGGACCCUAUAUUUUUUUGGACUUUUUUUAUAUUUAAUCCCCUCAAAAAAUAUUUACAAAUAAUCACAUAAAAUUUAUUUUUACAAGAUUGAUCAUGUUCCGGCCACGCAAGCACCACGCGGGCGUGAUUGAUCGUAGGUUAAAUUUAAUAUGAUGAACUAUUUACCAUACUUAGAUAUGGUGAAUGAUUUAUCGUGUCCUUUUAAUACAUAUUAUUUAAAAGGACACGGUGAAUUAUUUUCUUAUUAGUUUUUAAGUAAUAUAUAUCAAAAGAAUAUAUACGAUGAAUAAUUUACAGUGUUCAAUUUAACCUCACUGUCACACCCACGUGACACUCGCGUGAUGCCUAUAUGGCCGGGAUAAAGCUAAUCUUACUAAUAUAAAUUUUAUGAAACUAUUUGUGAGAAAAAAAAAAUUGAAAGAGUUAAAUGCAAAAAAAAGAAAAAAAAAAAAAGAAAAAAAAAAAAGAGCCCAUAUUUUUGUAGCCAUUUACAAUUUUUUUAACAUAUAUUUUUCAUAUGUGACUAAUAAACGUACGCUGCGACGGAGGGUUAAAAAGUUGCAACGACUUACGCAUUGGAGACCUGGCAUUUCCAUAGCUAAAUAUCCGUCCAUAUCAAGAACUAUACGUGCAAUUAAACCAGCUAGGUAGGAGCCCGGAAGGCGGGCUUUUGAUUAUCGGGUUGCUCUCGAAGAAGUUGAAAGGCCGAAGCUCGAAUCCCCCGGUUAACAGCGGCAUCAACGGAAAAUCUUCCUGGCAGGGGAUGUGGUGAAAUCCGACUGUGUACCACAACACAAUAUCCGUGUUCUUGAUCAAGCGAUUCCUGGUUAACCAAGAGAGAUCUUGAGAUGAGCCAUCAUUUUUAUUUGGAGAAAGCUUUAGUUCAAGAAAACUACUCCUUACAUAAGAAUAAGCCAGUUUGAUCGCUAACCUUUGGGUCCAUACGGCCAAGCCAUCAUCUCCUCUGCUCUGGUCGACGUAAAGCCCGGCGGCCCACUUCUCGGACUUGUUGUAGGCCGUCACCCACACCUGCUUCUUGGUGAAGCUGGCCCGGCGCUGCGGAUAGUCGUCAUCCGUCAUCAACGAGCCUGCAGUCCCCGCGCCGCUGAUCAGCCGGUACCCCACAUCGUUCCCCAUCUUCGUCUUCUUGCUCGGAUUCACGAUCAGCAGCUCUAUAGGUUCUUUUCCCACGUCAACCUGUGCAUCGGCCUCUGUCUCUGCUGUCUCUUUUACGACCGUCCAAUAGCUCUUCCGAGGGGAGUCGGACGAGGCCAACCUCACCGUCUUGAGCUUGGACUUGACGAAGGAGUUGUCGGUGCCGUCGAUGUCAAGGUCGAGAUAGUAAGUGAUGAAGUGGUCGUGGUAGACCGCGAUGGUGUUCUCAGCCAACAGACUGCCGUGGGGAUCGCCGGUUAUUUGGUCUGCAUGGGUGUAGGAUGAACCCUUCACUUCAAGGAGGCCUGUCAGUGCUACCUGUAUGAGGCAAGAAAGAGAAAUCAUGUAAAUUCUGUCCAGCAGAAAGUCAGCUGCUUCGAAUUGAACUAAUUUGUUAAGUUGAAUGAAUUCGUAUCUUCAUAUUGGAAUAAAAUAUGAUUAAAUUGAUUUUUCAUUGUUUACAUUUUUUAAUUAUUAUUCUUGGUUUUCCUAUGGACUUUGUAGCCAUUGGUAGUUAAAGAGCCCAAUCUGCAUAAAAAUUCAUUGAUUUUGAGUUUUUGUAAAAAUAAUCUGUCUUUUUAGAUUUUAUAGAUUGUAUACGAAUUUGACCAAAAUAUUCUUAUUCUUCUUUCUCUUUCUUUUUUUUUCACGCUCAUCUUUUUUUCGUACGGUUCGUUUUCUUCCUCCUUGCCGUUUCUCCUUUUUUCUUCUCCCACUCUCUCCUUUCUUUUGCUCCACCACCCCGACGUCAAAGUGCUCCUCUCUCUUACUUUGCUCGCCUCUCCGCUGAUCGAUGCCGGCUCGGAUAUGGCAUAAUUUACGAUAUGGUGGAAUUAUGGCCGCAGACGGUGACAGUGACAACGACGAGAGUGUCGCAAGUUUUGAGGACGAUGGAGAGAGAGAGCGCGUCGGGACGGAGGCGGUGGCAGCUGCGGCAAAGGACGAGGAAGGAGGUGUGAUAACAGAAAGUGACAUAGAGGGUGAAAGAAAAAAUAAAAAAAAAAAAGUUUUUUCUCCUAAAAAAAAUCAUUGUGUUAUAACUGUUAAAAGCAAACAAAAGAAAAAAUAAAUAAAUUUAUACUGUUUGAGAUCAAAGUUGCAUUAUUCGAGAAUAAGUCGUACUAUUUGAGACAAAAUUACACCAUACAAAAAUAAGUUGUACUAUUUUUGGACUAAACACUGUUUGAUAUUAAAUUGUACUAAUUGAGAGAAAAAAAAAAAGGAGAGAAGAAGAGGAUAAAUUGUACUGUUUGAGACGAAAGUUAUACUAAUAGGCAGUGUUUGGUCCAGAAAUAAAGGGGAAAUAAGCCCUUGUUCCCUUCUUCUUUCCCAAACGUCGCGUUUAGUAUCCGAGAACAGCCGGUAUAAAGCUGGAACUGAUGUUCCAUCUUUUUUCUUAAAACAAGCUUGUUCCUAAGUGGGAACAAGAUUAAUUAAAGUCUAAAUUUAGUUUUACUUAUGGUAUUAAAUUAUUAAUUAAUUUAAUUAAUAUAUUUAAAUCAUUAUUUUUUACUUAAAUAAUAAAAUAAUUAAUUAAAUUAUUAUUUAUAAUUAAUUAUUAAUAAUUUAAUAUAUUUAUCUAUAAACUAAUAUUUACAUUGUUUCUAUCAAUCUAAUUAAAAUGAUAUCGAAAAAUCAUUUUUAUAGGAUUUUUAUUUUCAGCCGUUAAAAAUUAUAGAUUUUGAAUCCUUUCGAUUGCCAGGUAAGUGAUAUUGAAAAAUCGCAAAAAUUAUUUUCUAGAAACUUCAAAUAUGCUAAAUCAAGUCUAACGGAGCCGAUCACCGAUUUGGAAAUUCCAUCAUGGAAAAUGGCUCAGUAGCACGGAGGCCAUCGUGCUCCUGAGAGCACAGCAGUCCUCUAUAUAUAUAUAUAUAUAUAUAUAUAUAUAUAUAUAUAUCUCAAGAUCAUCUUGUAUGANUGUUAGAACUUUACUCGCUCUGAUAUCAUUAGUUGCUUGUUAUCUCACUUCUCUUAUUUGUUCCAUCUCUUGCUUUUACUUUCGCUUUUCUUGUAGACGCCUUAUAUGUGUAGACAUAUGGCGGGUCUGGGCACGCUACCGGGAGGGCCUCUGCCGGUCCCGGGGCGUGACAUGUAUCCACUCAAGAUUGCUCCGAGAUCCGUAUUUUACACAAUCACAGUGUAGUUUCGAAACUCCUUUCGUAAUUUCUUGUGUCAAUAUAGAAAAAAUUAAUCCUUAAAUUAUGCUAGCAAUUUCAAAAGAAUUACCUAUAAUAUAGAAAUCAAUUAUUAUAAGAGAAUCUCUCUCUUAUAAUUAAAAGAGAGCUUUAUAUAAAGUCUUCCUUCUUUCACACUUCACUUUGUGUUCCACUUCUUGAGGGAGAUUACUCUCUUCUUUUUAUAGGCCUAAAAGCCAUUAGGCGGAGAGUAAGCUCCUCUAGUUGUUACAAAGAGAAUGGACAACCACCAUAAAUGAGAGGAAAUGAACUCCUCUCAUUUAAUAGAUGAAACAGAGAAAAAAAAAAAAAGAGAAGGAAGAACGAGAAGGGAGUUUUCUUUUCCAAUUAAUUAACUAUAUCAUUAAUAGGGUGAGUCACUACAACAGAAUUAGGUUAUAGGGACACAUGUUUGGGACACUUUUGAGUAAGUGUCCCAUUUAUGCUAAAACUUAAAAAAAAAUAUCUACUAAUGCCUAAAUAUAAAGCCCAAUCCAAUCAAAAAUAAAAGAUUACUCUACUCAACCCACCACACCCAGUCCAUUUGGCCCGAUUACAAACAGAAAAGAAAAAAAAAAGAAAAAUCAAUUACCAUCUUUUCUUCUCUCUUCAUUCAAUCCACUGAAAUUCUAGACGAAGAGCCUUUCCUGUCGUUCUCCUCCGCCACCGCAGCCAACGAGAUAGAGUUUCGGCGGUUGCUAAAUGCUUAAAUAAGUGUUGGUAAAUUAGCAGCACUCUUUUAGGUUAUAGCGACACUCUUUAACUGUCACUAUACACCUAGCGACCCCACAUAUAGCAACACUUUUUAAAAGUGUCGGUAAUUUUAGCUAGCAGCACUUUUUUGAUAUUUACCUAUAUUUAAAAGUGUCGGUAUAAACCAUUUUUGUUGUAGUGAGUGAAUGCAUGAAUUUACUUUUCAUUCUCCCUCACUCAUUUUCAUCACUUUGUAACUCCUCCAUUAAUAUUUAUUAAUUGAGAAGUUGAUAAGAGAAAGAUAGCUUUUAAUAUUUUUUGUGCACUUGCACCGUAUGCAACAAUUAUAUUUAACUCUAUAAUUUUUAAUUUCAUAAAUGGGUCCUUCUUACUAAACAACUUAGCAAAUAAAUUCUUACUUUACUAUUUCAGUAUGGUCUCUAUAAAUUCUCCAAGCACUCAAUCACACGUAGUUUUAUUGUAUGUGACCACAUAAGUUCUAUUUCACCUAAUAGUAAGAUGCGAUACUAAACUCUUUUAAUAUUACCAUUGGAACUUCUUUCGUAUAGACCAAAAUAUUUUUGUCUCUCAUAACUGAAUGUGAUUAACCAUCUUAAUCACUCUCGUUUUGGUCUCACAAUCCACAAGUGACACCUAAUAUGGUGGUUGUUAGUGUAGCUACGACCUAAUAUGGUGGCAGUUAAUGUAGCUACGACAGGCGGGACGGGUAUGUUCACAGUCCCUAGUGAGAUUGGGUCAGAGAUUGCUUUUCCUACAGAUUGUUAGUGUUGUUUCAUGAUAGUAUAGUGGCAUGUAGCUGUAGAUUAUUUUCAGUUUCUUACUAUCAUUGAGUAUACAUCUGUAGACUUAGUGUGUAACGACCCAGCCCACUAGCAACAAUAACUCGUUGGGCCCAACCGCCGGCCCAAAAUGCUUAAGCCCAGUUAUUAUUACUAGUGUCUAAGUCUCUUAUAAACCCAAUAACAACCCCAUUCCCAUCCGAUGUGGGAUUAUUGGGGUGUCACAGACUCCCUCCGUUAAGGCCCUGACGUCCUUGUCAAUCCAAACACACACACAGCCCAAGAUCGCCAGGCGAUGUGAGACUCGUCUCACUAGCCAGUCAUCUAGACCCUAGCUCAGCCGAGACUCGCCACACAUGUCCAGCUGGUGAACCGGCUCUGAUACCAAAUGUAACGCCCCAACUUCCCAGGGGUCACCCAUCCUAGGACUACUCCCGUCCUAGCACGCUUAACUCUCUUAACCUCUUGGGCCUUGCCACCACCUAAUAUGCUUAAGCCGGGUUAAGAGUUUAGCCCUAUUAUAUCUUAUAUAUAGGACUAUCUGGGGUCUCACAAUCAAAAUUUGUAACGCCCCAACUUCCCAGGGGGUCACCCAUCCUAGGACUACUCCCGUCCUAGCAGGCUUAACUCUCUUAACCUCUUGGGCCUUGCCACCACCCAAUAUGCUUAAACCGGGUUAAGAGUUUAGCCCUAUUAUAUCUUAUAUAUAGGACUAUCUAGGGUCUCACAAUCUCCCCUCCUUUAAGCCCUGACGUCCUCGUCAGGCUCAGACUCACAAGUACCAGGCGAUGUGAGACUCGUCUCGCUAGCCCGUCAUCCAGACCCUGGCUCAGCCGAGACUCGUCUCACACUUCCGGCUGGUAAUUGGCUCUGAUACCAUUUGUGACGCCCCAACUUCCCAGGGGGUCACCCAUACUAGGACUACUCCCGUCCUAGCACACUUAACUCUCUUAACCUCUUGGGCCUUGCCACCACCCAAUAUGCUUAAGCCGGGUUAAGAGUUUAGCCCUAUUAUAUCUUUUAUAUAGGACUAUCUGGGGUCUCACAUAAUGGGCGAGCCGUUGAGGUCGGUAGCGGUACCCACUGAGGACUACUUCUUUUUACAGUAGUUUUCACGUCCAGUUGUUGGAAUCUUUUGCAGAGCCUUCUUCUUCGGUUGCUGCUGCUGCUGAUUCGGAUCGAGGAAAGGGAGUCGCGAGUUAGAUCCCUUCCCCGUUGCUGCUGAUCUAGAGUAUACCAGCUACAGGUUGUUGUAGUUCUUUUUGGUUCAUUACAUACUAAUUUUGUAUCUCGCUGCCCAGAUGCUAUAUGUAUGUAUUGGACCACUGUUAUUAUUUAUGUUUUAUUUCUUUUUUUUGCAGCUCUACACUGCUAGUUGUAGUGUUGUGUGAUUAAAGGUACAGCUAUCGCUUCGUAUACAGAAAAAAUUUCUUUGUAUACGGCAGAUUUGUCGGCGUGCCCAGGGAAACGAGUAAUCCGGGGUGUGACAUUUUGUCUACAUCAAGUGUAAAAAUUUAUCGUAUGGAUCAAUUCUAUUUUUUAAUAGUCAAUAUAACAAAUAAAUAUAAAAUUUUAUUGCAUAGAUCAAUACUAUUUUUUAAUAGUCAAAAUAACAAAUUCGUAUGGUUUUUAUCCUUUUUUUUUUUAGUCCUUCUUAUAAUUUAUUCUUAUAUUUUUAUUGCAACAAUAGUUACUUAUUCUUCAGUUGAUUCUUUUUUAUAUAAUUCUUUGAAUCUUUUUUUACUUUCUUUACUUUAUUUAUUUAUUUAUUUUUACGAAAUCACGUCCUUCACUAAUAUUAGAGAGUCAAAAGUUUAAUAGACGCUUUUCUUUCUUUCUCCCUUUUAACUCACGCACCUACUUUUCUCCUCCUUGCUACCUCCGCUCUAGCCUUUUUGGCUGGAUUUUGGCUAGGCAUCUAGCUAAAAAUCCAACUAUUAGUGUAGUAACCCUGGAAUUCAGCAGCUGAGGCUUGUCGACAGCUCUGGAGAGUGUCGGGACAAGUCCGAGUCCUGUUGGCGCGAAAUAGACGCAAACUGGACUCAGCAGGACGCGAGAGCAGAGAGUUAGCAUUGCAAUCUGCAAAUUUCAGAUUUUCAGCAAUUGGUACCAUUACCGCACAGAGGCGUACGGGUACCCAGUGCAUUUUUCUGCGUAGACUGCUCUCGGGUUGGCCAUUCUGCUGCGUGGUACUGGUACAACAUUGGAGUGGUACCGGUACACCAGGGUAGGUAAAGGACUUUUUGGUCUUUUCUUGCCUCGUUUGUUUCACCUUAUCCCCUCUACAUUAUAUAGGAUGGAGAGAGAGGCUGAGGAGGGGUUUUGCUAUGCUCUCUCUCUCUUCCUCUUGUGCUCGGUCGUACGCAAGGAGGAGCUUGGGUGGAGGCGGAUUGUCACCGAUGUCGUGCCGCGGUGCCGUUUGAGCGUGCGUUCGUCGUGGUAGCGUCGUGGGGAGGCUGCGCGAGCGUGCAGUUUCGCUUCUUUCGACUUCUCGCCGUUGUUGGAUGCGCUUUCGAUGUGGGUUAAAGUGAUGCUUACCAAAUUCUACGGGUUUCCUCCUAAUGCUAUAUGUGUCGACAACAUGUAUUUUUAGCUUUGUUUAGUAUAUUGUUUAGCUCGAUUCUUAAAAUUUCAUGCCUAUGAACUUGAAUUGGAGCGUAGAAAAUUAGCUAAAAUAUACAUGUUGAACUUGGAUUUGACUUAGGAGAAAACUGACGUUUCUACACCGCCAUUUGAACAAACUACCAGAUUUAGCUCUAGGAGCCGUAGUUUGUUUGUAUCGACGCAGUUUGUGGACGGUGAAUACUUAGAAUAGUGUAGAAUAUAUUUAUACUCGUGCUGAGGUGCCGAGUGUAUUUUUACAGUAGUGUUUAGGCUGUUCCGGAUUGCCGGGUGCCGUUGAGGUUGACGGUGGACCAAGAUUGCUGUUUUUGCAUCAGAUUGUGCCUAGGAUACGUGAGUUCAGUUGUUAGACCAUGUUUACUUGACUAUAGCCUGUGAGAGUCUGAUUGAGCUCGACAGAGAUACGCUUGCAUACUCAGUUAGGUAGCGCCCAUGAGUGCCACUCCGGAGUCGGGCUUUGUGCUUUUGCGUUAGUGUCGUUUAGUCCUGGUUGAACUUGCUCUCCACUGACGACCUGGUUUAGUGUCAGAUUGUGUAGUUUCGACAGGCGGGACGGGUGUGUUUACAGUCCCUAGUGAGAUUGGAUCAGGCUUUAUUAUUUCCUACAGAUUGUUGGUGCUCGACCGAGAUAGUAUAGGUACAUAUAGCUGUAGAUUUAUUUCAGCUUUCUUACUAUACUUGUUUACAUCUGUAGAUUUAGUGGGUGAGCCGUUGAGGUCGGUAGCGGUACCUACUGAGGACUAUUUCUUUUGUAGUAGUUCUCACGCCAGUUGUUGGAAUCUUUUGCAGAGCUUUUUUCUUCGACUGCUGCUACUGCUGAUACGGACCGUGGAAAGGGAGUCGAGAGUUAAAUUCCUUCCCAGUUGCUGCUGAGCUAGAGUAUACCAGCUACAAGUAGUGGUAGUUUUUGUGUUCAUAUACAUACUUUUAUUGUAUCUCGCUGGAGCGAGUGUUUUGUAUAUCAGGAUACUUGCAUGUAUAGUGAACUUAUGUUUUUAUAUAUAUCAUUUCUUCUAGCAGCUCUAUACUACUGGUUGUAGUAUUGUUUGAUUACAGGUACAGCUGUCGCUUCGUAUACAGGAAAAAUUUCUUUGUAUACGGCGGAUUUGUCGGCGUGCCCGAAAAAACGAGUAAUCCGGGGGUGACAAUUAGGUUCGAAUUUUUGCGUUACUUUACUUAUUAUUUCUCUAAUAUUAUCUUCUAUGUUUAUGAUCUAUUCCAUAAUUAUCUAAAUUUUCAUCUUUCUUUUGCUUUAUUCUUUCGCUAUUCAAAACUCCUCUUUCUUUCAAUUUGUUCACCGUCAUCGACUUUAUGCCUAUCCUUCGUGCUGAAGCUUGGUAGACUCGGAGAUAAGGACGUCUCCAAGGUUGAAAAACUAAGAGAUAUAGGCAUUCCGCUGUGAGUCGCAGGACAAAAGUUGGAUCGAAAAUACAGUAUAGAUAAUUAUUUUUAUCUAUAUUAUCUAUAUUAUAUUUUUCCAUAUUAUGAGCUUAAUUAAUUUGUUAGUUGGUACAAUGGUUCAGGGAUUGAUUCAGAUAAUUUUCUCUUUUCUUCUUUAGGUUCGAAAACGGUUAACUUUAUCUUCUUUUUUCUUAGUUUUGAGAUACUUAUAUUUUUUCCUUCUUUCUUGAUAUAAAAUAUACUUAUUUUAUUUUUCAAAAAUCUACAAUGACGUAACCAAGCUCUCCUAUGUUUUUUAAUAAAAUGCCUACUGGUGUUAACCUUUUAUAAGUUGCAUUUGGUUUGGUUAUAAGUAAGAACUACUUAUUACAUGGAUAGGUACAAGUUCAGAUAUAAGAAGAAAUUAGACCAAUUUUGCAUUUCGAUAAAAAUUUUGCUUCUACAAAUAAGAUAAAUAGUGUUUGGAUGGUUAGAUUGGAACAAAGGGAUUAAGAGUUACAAUUUUAAAUUAAAAUUAUCUUAUCUAAUUAAUUAACAUCAAAAUAUUACUUAAAAAUAAUAAAUUAAUAUUAAUAAUUAUAAAUUAAUAAAUAAAUUAAUUAAAUAAUAAUAAAUUUGUGUUUGGAUGAAAAUUGAGUUAUUCCUAGANNNNNNNNAAUUAUAAAUAAUUAUAAAUUAUAAAUUAAUUAAUUAAUAUUAAAAUUAUUAAUUAGUUAAUUAUUAAUAACUAUAAAUAAUAAAUUAUUAAUAAUUAAUAGUAAUAAUAAAUUAUUUAAUUAUAAUUAAUUAAUAGUAAAUAAAUAAUUAAUUAAUAAUAAAUUAAUUAAUUAAGAAUAAAUUAACGAUAAAUUAGUUAAUUAUAAAUUAGUAAAUUAAUUAAUUAUUAAUUAAUAAAUAAAUAAAUAAAGUAAUUUUUAAUAAUUAUAAUUUAAUUAAUAAUAAUAAUUAAUAAACUAAUAAAUUAUUUUAUAGCUUAAACAAUAAAUAUUGAUUUAAAUAUAUUAAUUAAAUUAAUUAAUUAUUUAAUACCCAAAUUAAAAUUAUUUUUAAACUUUAAUUAACCUUAUUCUCACCUAGAAACAAGUUUGUUCCAUAGGAAAGAUGAAACAACAGUUCCAGCCUUAUAUCGGCUUAUUCCAAAAAUCUAAGAACUACUAUUCUCGGGUACCAAACGCAGCGUUUGGGAACAAAAGAGGAAACAAGGGCUUAUUCCCCCUUUGUUUCCUAACCAAACGCUUCCCAAAUUGCUAUUUGGGAUUAAAGGGGGAUAACCUCUUAUCCGAUCCUCCAUUAACCCUAAACCAAACAGUGUUAAAAAACUAUAAAAAAAAAAGGGGAAAACUUCAAAAACCCCCCUUGUGGUUUCAAUUUUUUUCACUUUAGUACUCUGUGGUUUAAAAUGUAUCAAGUUAGUACCCUAUGGUUUCUCACUUUAUCACUUUAGUACCCUGUGGUUUAAAGUGUAUCAAGUUAGUACCCUGUGGUUUUGCACUUUAUCACUUUAGUAUCCUGUGGUUUUAAUUUUGUAUCAAGUUAGUACCCUGUGAUUUUUUAAAUCACAAGGUACUAAAGUGAUAAAGUGUGAAACCACAGGGUACUAAAGUGAUAAAGUGCAAAGCCACAGGGUACUAAUUUGAUACACUUUAAACCACAGGGUACUAAAGUGAUUAAGUGAGAAACCACGGGUAGUAACUUGAUACACUUUAAACCAUAGGGUACUAAAAUGAAAAAGUGUGAAACCACAGGAGGGUUUUUGAAGUUUUCCCAAAAAAAAAAGAAAAAAAAAAUUGUUACCCCAAAUUUGAUGGAGCCACUGGCCUUGAAUUCCCAGUCCAUCACAUAAUCGUAAUUCCCCAGCGCAGCCACCAUCCUCACAACCAAACUCACUUCCGGUCGCACCUCCCUUAUCUGCAAUUUCACCAUCAUCAUAAACAUAAAGCCCAAACCCAUAUAUCAACCUACCGAAAAAAAAUAAAAAGAGAAAUCUAAUUACUAAAAAUACACAUGCAGUUACUUUUAAUCAUAUUGCCUUCAUGCACUUACCACUCCUUCCGGUAACCCGAACUCCGUGUGCCGCCACGCAACGUCGCCGGCGUAGCGCUGGAACACGCAGAAAACGUUCUCAAUUUUGAUAGGCUUGCCAUCCUGCCCGGCGUAGUACCCGUCCAAGAAUGCCGCGCCGGCUGGGCAAUCAGCCUCGGGCACGAGAGGGGAGGCCCACAGCCCGAACCCGAACUCGCCCUCGUCGAAGAACGUCCGGUAGUACCACUCGUCGACCGGGUCCAUGUAUGGCACGAACAGCUCCGACACAAACCCUCGGUAGAGGACGCGGCGGCAUGCACACUUCUCACCAUCGUAGACGGACGCGAGGGAGAUGAUGGCACCGGCGCGGACGUCGUAGCUCAGGUGGAACUCCCAGUUAGCCCACCUACAUGAAUUAAAUUUUUAAUUGAGCUUCAAUGCUUUUAAAAGUACCGGAUUAUUCGCGCUUAUAAAUUUUCGGCUUUUGGAUAAAGAAAUGUGCGAUUAAAAUAAUACCGGUCCUUUAAAAUUGAGUGGAUAAUUUGUUGAAUAGUAUAAUUUAACAAGUAAAAAUGAUCAAAAAAAUUAUAUCUAAUUGUUAAAAAAUUACAAGCUUUAAAGAGUUUUGUGCUUUUAAAAAUAUCAUAACAGGACUCUAGAAAAUAAUAUUAUAGUAUUUU